rnacentral:lncRNA from 1 species
AAGAACUCACAUAUAUUCAUGAAAACAUAAUAGGUUCAGAUCUGGAAUCAUGGCACUCGGGCCCUAAUGAUAAGCAUUAAGCAUAGCAAAGUCAUAGCAACAUCAAUCUUAGAACAUAGUGGAUACUAGGAAUCAAACCCUAACAAAACUAACUCGAUUAUAUGAUAAAUCUCAUCCAACCCAUCACCGUCCAGCAAGCCUACGAUGGAAUUACUCACGCACGGCGGUGAGCAUCAUGAAAUUGGUGAUGGAGGAAGGUUGAUGAUGACGAUGCGACGGAUUCCCCUCUCCGGAGCUCCGAACGGAUUCCAGAUCAGCCCUCCCGAGAGAGUUUAGGGCUUGGCGGCGGCUCCGUAUCGUAAAAUGCGAUGAAUCCUUCUCUCUGAUUUUUUCCCCGAACACGAAUAUAUGGAGUUGGAGUUGAGGUCGAUGGAGCGUCAGGGGCCCACGAGGCAGGGGCGCGCCCAAGGGGGUAGGCGCGCCCCCACCCUCGUGGACAGGGUGUGGGCCCCCUGACGUGGAUUCUUCUUCCAGUAUUUUUUAUAUAAUCCAAAAAUAAUCUCCGUUGAUUUUCAGGUCAUUCCGAGAACUUUUAUUUCUGCACAAAAAUAAUACCAUGGCAAUUCUGCUGGAAACAGUGUCAGUCCGGGUUAGUUCCAUUCAAAUCAUGCAAGUUAGAAUUCAAAAUAAGGGCAAAAGUGUUGGGAAAAGUAAAUACGACGGAGAUGUAUCAGCCACGAUUAGGUGUUUCUACAAGUUCUGUCGGGCAGUGGUGGCAGUGUUUGGACUGCAAUACUUGCGAACACCCAAUGCGGAAGACACUGCUUGGAUCCUAGCACAGAAUGCAGCAAAAGGAUUUCCUGGGAUGCUUGGAAGCAUCGACUGCAUGCAUUGGAGAUGGAAGAACUGUCCAUUUGCUUGGCAGGGGAUGUACAAAGGCGCCAAAGGCGGUUGUAGUGUGAUAGUUGAAGCGGUGGCAACACAUGACCUCUGGAUUUGAUACUCCUUCUUUGGUAUGUCAGGAACUCACAAUGACAUCAAUAUGCUGCAGUGCUCCCCUGUCUUUGCCAAGCUUGUUGAAGGUCAUUCUCCUACAACAAGGGGUACUACCUAGCUGACGGCAUCUAUCCGAGAUGGUCUAUAUUUGUGAAGACUAUCUCAAACGCUGUGCCAGAAGGCAAGAAGUCCCACUUUGCCAAGGUGUAGGAGGCUUGCAGGAAGGAUGUCGAGCGGACAUUUGGUGUGCUCCAAUCUUGAUUUGCUGUUGUCCGGUACCCUGCUCAGACCUGGUCGAAAGAUCAAAUAUGGGACUUCAUAAUUUGUUGUGUCAUCUUGCACAACAUGAUCAUCAAAAGCGAGCAGGAAGAUCCAGUAUUUGACACUGAACCAUACUACAGGCAGGGUCCUCUAACCGAAGUUGAUCAUCAGCUACCGGCAACCUCGACUGCCUACCUUAGUAUGCGUCAGGAGAUCCGGGACCCAUAAGUGCAUCAUCAACUGCAGCAGGAUCUGGUGGAGCAUCUAUAAAGGAUCAAGGGCGACGCCGGGCUCGACGUAUGAUGAAAUAUGAGUUUUUAUUUGUUGAACUAUAUAAUUUGUAUUGAACUAUUUGUUGUUGAAUUAUUUAAUUUUCUGUGAUGAACUAUGUGAUAAAAAAUGUAUUUAUGCUAAGAAUUCAAUACCAAACCACCCUGAACCAUGCCGAAUAUAGGCCAUUUCUCGUCGAUAUCGGGCCAUUUUUUUAUUUAUCUGACCGUAAAGUGGCCAUGAAUGGAUCAAGGGGACAAUCUAAAGGCGACGGCUGGAUGUCCAAUCGCUCUAGCGCCAGUUGUAUCGCCGGCUCGUCCCCAGCGGUGAUUUUUAUGUCUGCUGGGCCAACCGCGGGAGAUGCUCUAAUCACCGGGAGGUUCUACCGCUCACUUGUCGGCGGGCAGGCCUCCCUGCCCCGUCCACCACCAACAUCGUCCCGUCCCGCGUCAUCGCGAACGCGCGGGAGGCAGCAAUGGCACGCCACCCGUUCUGGCGUGCCCCACGAGGCCCAAUUCUUGUUGAGCUUAUCCAUUCAAUUCCUAUUGGCGAUGACGAGGCUGCAGCUCGCGGUCGCUGUCGCGGUCGCCGUGGCGCCCGGUCCUCCGGGUCCCUGUUCCACUUCCAGAGCAGUUCGACGACCCCCGCGCCAUAUCUCGCGCUGCCGCGGCCUACUUCGAGGCGCAAUGUCGGUCGUCGCCGCUGCCGCCUCCACUCAUCCCAGCGCCACCGCCGACGGGUCCCCGCCGCAGAUGGCGACGACGCGUCUCGAGCGCGGGUCCCUGCUGGUCGGCGGCCGCGAGCUCAUCUCCCAAUGCCCGCCCGAGGUCACCCUACGCGCGGGCGUCGCCCUCGCCGCUCCGGGCGCCGCGUUCCUCGGCGCCCGGGCAGCGGCGCCGUCCAGCCGUCACGUCUUCUCCCUCGGCACCAUCCCCAAGUAGGUGGCCACAUAUGGCUUAUUAUGCUUGCGCAGCGCGCGCGUCGGUCCGAGAUACUAAUGUUCGUUCGUGAUGGUUGCUGUGCAGAGGAUGGAGAUGGCUGUCGCUGUUCAAGUUGAAGAUCUGGUGGAUGGCCCCGAAGACGGGCGCGGAGGCGGCGGGCGUGCCGGCGGAGACGCAGAUGCUGCUUCUGGAGAAGACGGGGAAUGGGGCCGAGGACACGGUGUACGCUCUGAUGCUGCCAGCCCUCGAUGGGGAUUUCCGGGCCAGCCUCCAAGGGUGUCCCGAGAAUGAGCUCCAAUUCUGCUUCGAGAGUGGUAGGCAGACUUCACCUUGUCUUAUGAAUGUUAUGGUGCUUGGCUCAAAUUGUGCAAUGCUUGGAAUCUUAGUGGAAUGGUUGUCUCUUUGCUAGGUGAUCCUGAUGUGCAGACGAAGGAUGCUGUUGAUGCGGUAUUCGUCAACUCAGGGGACAAUCCUUUCAAGCUUAUGAAGGAAUCAAUCAAGUAAUGCCGCACUACUACAACGGCAUGGAUUUUCUUUCUUUCUAUGUGGCAGUGGCUUACUUAUAUCUUCUGUAGGAUACUGUCCAAGAUCAAAGGAACUUUCAGUCAUAUUGAGAGCAAGGAGGUAUAUAUAAGCAGGUUUUUACACUUUUAUCACCUAACUAGACUAUGGUUGUUGAUCUUGGACAUAUCUCAAUUUAUUUGAUUGUGACAAGUCUUUUGUAAAUUUGCUACAAAUGUCAGACCCCUGCAAACUUAGACUGGUUUGGAUGGUGCACUUGGGAUGCAUUUUAUAAAGCUGUCAACCCAGUAGGGAUUGAAGAGGGCCUUCAAAGGUAUACAAGAAUUGAGUUGAUCUUUGAUUUGCAUGUGUUCUUUAUGUAAUUUGCCGCACCCUUCAUUUUUAUUUUUAUUUCCUGAAAUACACCUCCUUCAUUUGAUAAUUGUCAUUUACUGAUGAUGCAUUCCCUGUAAAAUAGUUUGCGUGAAGGAGGCGCACCACCAAGGUUUCUGAUUAUAGAUGAUGGUUGGCAAGAAAUAGUUAACGAAUUCAAGGAAGUGAAUGGAGCUCUUCUUGAAGAGACUGUGUAUGUAUAUCAACCUUUGCUAAUACAUACAAAAAAGAGUGUACUGCAUCUGAUUUUCAUCGUAACAUUGCCAGGUUUGCAGAGAGGCUGGUUGAUCUGAAGGAGAAUGACAAGUUUAGGGGAGAAGCCUGCAAGAAUCUGGGAGAUCUUGUCAAGAAAAUCAAAGAGACACAUGGAGUCAAGUACUUGAUUCUUAUUGCAAUAGUUUACUAUAUGCCUAAUGUAUAUGUAAGGGUCAUCUUUUGCUGAGCAAAAUGUUGCAUGUGGAAUUUCAGGUACGUCUACGCAUGGCAUGCUUUACUUGGGUAUUGGGGAGGUGUCUGCACAUCAUCGGACGUGAUGGAGAAUUACAAUCCAAAACUAGUUUACCCCGUCCAGUCUCCUGGUGAUGUUGCAAAUUUGAGGGAUGUAGCCAUGGACAGCUUGGAGAAAUAUGGAGUUGGUAUCAUUGAUCCUGAGAAGAUAUAUGAAUUCUACAAUGAUCAGCACAGUUACCUUUCUAGUGUGGGUGUGGAUGGUGUGAAGGUAGAUGUGCAAAGUGUGAUGGAGACUCUCGGGCAUGGCUUCGGUGGUCGUGUUGCAUUAACUCGAAAGUAUCAACAUGCUCUUGAGGAAUCUAUUGCUCGGAACUUCAAAGGAAAUAACCUAAUAUGCUGCAUGAGUCACAGUUCAGACCACAUCUAUAGGUAAAUAAUCCAUAUUUGUGAACAGUAUGAGCUAUGUACAUAGAAUCUGACAUGAUCCUUCACUGUUUGUAGUGCCUUGAAGAGUGCAGUUGCUAGAGCAUCAGAAGAUUUCAUGCCUCGGGAGCCAACACUGCAAACUCUGCACAUUGCUAAUGUAGCAUUCAAUAGCCUUUUAUUGGGAGAAAUUUUCAUCCCGGAUUGGGAUAUGUUCCAAGUAAGAUUAUUCUGCACCCUUUAGUUUGAUUAGCCAUAUUUCUGUACUUUAGUAUCAGCUAAUUUUCUCUCUUUUUCCCACAAAAAAAAUAAUUUUCUCUCUUUCUUUCUGAUGUAAAGAGCAAGCAUGAAACAGCGGAAUUUCAUGGAGCGGCUAGGGCUCUAAGUGGAGGUGGUGUUUAUGUCAGGUGAUUUUUAUAGCGCAUUUUCUUCAGGUGUGGUGUUUGAUUUUAACCAAAUCGUGCUUGCUGUAUAAAUUUCUCCCCAUAUUGAUAUGCAGUGACAAACCAGGAGUGCACGAUUUCACUGUUCUGAAAAAGCUCGUUCUACCAGAUGGCUCGAUUCUAAGAGCAAGGUAUGCUGGUCGUCCUACUCGCGAUUGCCUGUUCAAUGAUCCAGUCAUGGAUGGCAAAAGGUAUAUUUACACUAAUACACACCCCAAUUUAGCUUAUCCGGUUUGUCCGAUGCUAUCUAUUUGACGAAGACUAAUUCAUUAACUCUUGGGCAGUCUUCUGAAAAUAUGGAACCUGAACAAUUUGUCUGCUGUCGUCGGAGUAUUCAAUUGUCAGGGAGCUGGAAACUGGACUUGGUUAGUCGAAGAAAUUUCACAUGUUCCCACCGCCGUUAACAUAACGGGUCAUCUCUCGCCAUCAGAUGUAGAGUCUCUCGAGGAGAUUACUGGUGAUGAGUGGAAUGGAGAGACUGCAGUAUAUGCUUUCAAUUCAUGUAAUUUUUCUUUAGCUACUCAUUUCUUCUUCGCAAUUGCAUCUUAUCUAUUGUACGGUCAAGAUCUUAGUUAACCUUCUGUUUUGUAUUGCAGGUUCUCUUUCAAGGCUCCAGAAGCACCAAAGUUUGGAGCUUUCAUUGGUCACUAUGACAUGUGAGAUCUAUACCAUAUCACCGAUACAGGUCAGAUUUCUGUCCACCCCUUGCUUACAUUUGUUGAGACUGUAUGGGUGCAUUGGUUUCAUUCUGGUUAAUGGAGCCGGGGAGAGCCUCCCUGUUAUUCUAAAAAACACAUUUGUUGAGCCUAGUUUACUUCAUAUUCUCACAGAAACAGUCAUUUCUGCACCAGGUUUACGGUGGGGCUGUUCGGUUCGCGCCGCUUGGACUGCUCAACAUGUUCAACUCCGGUGGCGCACUCGACAGUAUCACAGGCACAGUUGAUUCUUCAGCUACGACAGUUCAGAUCAAAUGCCGAGGGCCAGGACGUUUUGGGGCGUAUUCAUCUGCUAGACCGGCACUCUGUAGAGUUGAUGCGCAUGAAGUAGAGUUCAGUCAUUCUGAUGAUGGCUUGCUAGCAUUUGAUCUCUCAGAUGGAUCUUCCCACAGCAGCCUCUGGAACAUAGAGAUUCUCUACACAGCCUCCUGAAGACCUGAACCUGUAUGUGACCUUGAUGUCUCUUGUUGCAAUUUCUGCUCUGCGCCAUUCAUUUCUCGGAGACCAACUACUGAUGUUUAUACCGUGGUGGUUUCUCCGUAAUUGCUGCCUCCCAGCUUCAGAAAUAAUUACUCUGCUCGCCGUAUUUAGAAGUAUGUUCUUUCUUACCAUGCCGCGUCGUGUUUUCGUGUGCGUUUGCGUGUGUGUUUUCUGUGUCGUUAUGGCUAUUAUUUUCUGUUGGACACAACUCCAAAUUGGAGAUUUAUAUAUGUAGAUCACUUUUAUGAGAUUAUUUGCUGGAAUGAACGGACGGAUUUUGCAAGCUUGGGGCCAUCAGGCUCCAGUGCCCCAACAUUCAUUCAGUUAUCUGAACUCUGAAGGAUAUUAUUCCGGUUCUAGAGCAGCUUCUCUCGUCCAUCCCGGCGCCUUUGCAGCUAGUACAACGGAUGCGUGCACCUAUACAAUUAUAUAUGUCGGUCCUACUGGCGCCGAUCAAAGCGAGCGAAUCUUCGAGCUCCCGAGCUUCACAGGCAGCUCCGCGAGCAUGCUAUUGGCGGCGACGCUCCUCGUGCUGCUCACCAUCUUGAACCACUGGCUCUCCGGGUCGCAGCUGUUGUCCGCGCUCAGGCAGCGGCACGGGUUGGUGACCACGCUCUGGCCGUCCGCGCCGACGUCCAGGCAGAGCAUGCCACGGCCAUCGCCGGAGCCGGAUGACGACGCAGACGAUGCGUUGACGGCGACGUGCAGCUUGGAGUCCGACACGAGGCGCCACCGGGACAUGUCGUCGUCGCAAGGCGUGCCGAGGCGCACGGGCCGGCCGGCGCCCUGCGCGUGGAGGCACAUCAGCGGGCCGUCCCGCAGCGCCAGCCGCCCCUGCUGCGGCGCGUACUCCCAGGCCUCCGUCCCGGCGCACGCGCCCAGCUCCAGUGGCUGCGCCAGCGACCGCCGCAGCACGCACAGCCCCGUCGCCGGGUGGAACAGCACCGUGUACGGCGCCGCCUCCGCGUAGCCAGGCCCUGCAAACACACGCACCAACAUCAUGAAAUCAGUCGCAAGCUCACAGGCCGGCCAGGGUAAGACGAACAGAGCAGAUCGCGGCGGGUGCGAACCUCGGAGCGGGCGCUGCAGGGGCUGGACCCUGCGGAGCGCGGUGACGUUGCGUGGCCUGGACCAGGCCCGGUCGAGCACGCCGUAGACCUCGUCGAGGUCCAGCACGCCCUGGCGGAGGUAGUAGCUCCCCUGCAGCGUCCAGAGCGCCCAGUCGAGGUCGAGGUCGGCGGCGACGGCGGCGGCGCAGCCGUAGUAGCGGUUGUCGUUGGCGUUCCCACCGCGGUUGUCGACGCCGAACUCGCUGAGGAAGACCGGCCAACCCUGGUCGAGCAGGUAGAGCGCGCGGCGGGACACGCUGGCCCCGAUCCGCGCGCACACCUCGUUGGGGUUCCCCGCCGCCCACUCCUGGCCGUUGGAGAAGCUGUACCAGUGCACCUCGAACGCCGCCUUCCGGGCGAAGCUCAGGCUCACCUGCCGCGAGUUGAGGAACGCCAGGUCGUUGUCGAAGCUGAGGCCCGAGAGGAUCACCAGCACCCGCGGGUUCGCCGCGUGCACCGCCUCCGCGCCGCGCUGCAUGUACCUGCGUUCGUGCAUCGUCAGUGUCAGCCCUCAGCUGCAUGUGCCAUGACGGGGCUGGCGCCAUGUGUGGGAGUAACUAGGCUUUGUCCCUUUUGCAGUUUUGUUCGAGGCAUUGAAAGCUCAUGCCUCCGGAGCACACGAAGGAGGAAGGACUACUGUCUACUGGUGGUUCACUGAAAGACUGAUGCUGCCUGCUGGACGGCUACCCUAUCACUUGCAGUGAAUGCCAUUACUGUCUCUCACAUGCUGUGCAGGAGCAGCAGUUGGAGAUGUAAAGCCAGCGGCCAACUACCACUAGGUUCUUGUUCAGGCUCAUUUACUCGUCCAGGACAUGCACAUGAACAAAAUCUCAAUGUCGUUGGUGGCUCGACGCGUAUUGCCACACGCAUUUGAGACUUUUAUCACCGGCAUGGUCGACAUUAGGAAUAGGAUCGUCAGUUCAACGGUGUUUACUGGUGGUGAUAAUUUUGGUUUGGUUUUAGUGAUCGAUCUAAUCAGGAUAGGAGAAAAAGCACUACUUACUUGUACCAGUCGUUUGAGUUCUGCCUGGGGCCUCGGAGCUCGUUCCUGAGGCUCAUGCCGACGACGUGGGGGACGCCGGCGAACAUGGUGGCCAUCUUGGUGAGGCCGUCGACCCAGACGUCCGGCUCGAAGUAGCCGUCGCCGAAGAACCCGUUGCCGUCCGCGUUGUCGCAGCACCACCCGGGCUUGCUCACGUGGUUGUCCAGGAUCACCAUGACGUUGUUCUCGCCGAGGCUGCUCACCACGGCCUGUAUGUAUGCCAUGCACACAUCAACAGUUUGACACCAACACAAAUUAAGUGCACUAUUAUAUAUACACUAAAAAGAUUUACGAGCUUGCCUUGAACGCGUCGAUGAGCUUGAGGUCGACGACGGCGGGGUUGUUGGCCCUGAUGCCGGCGAGCGACUCGGUGAGGUUGAGCCUCUGGAAGGACUGCUCGACGGUGAGGGACGAGUAGGAGGCGUUGGUCACCAGGAACGUGGGCCAGGUGAGCCGGACGCAGUUGAACCCCAUGGUGGCCACGUCCCCGGCGAUGGCGCCCACGGGCCGCUUGCCCAGCCCCUCCGCCAGCAUCGGCUCCAGGUGCGACGGCCAGUUCACGCACGCCAGCUUCACGCGGUCCCCGGCCUCGUCCACGACCCACCGGGACGCCGUCGACAGCGUCACGGCCGCCGCCGGAGCAUGGUGAAGCGCGCAAUGCCACGCAAAGCCGAGAGCCAGCCACGCCGCGAGGAGAGGAGAAGGCCUCACCCUCCCCGUCGUCGCCAUGGCGAUGGAGACCGGGAUGGCACGGAGGGCCGGUGGGCGUAUAUAUAAUGCCACACGGUACGUGGUGCAAGCUAGCUAGGUUGGCUUCGUCAUGGGCCUGUGGAAGGAGGGCGGGGCUUCAAAGGAAUAACUUGGUGGUGACAUCUGAGACGGGUCUUGACAUGUGUGAAGGAAGGGCUUCAAGAGGGUGACUAGCGCUUGCCGAUGUUUCAAGAAUGCAACAACUAUUUUAUACUGCUUCAAGGCACUGCAACGAGACCGGUGCUGUACUGCUCCUAAUUCGCAACCCGGCUGAAAAGAAGGAGAUAAAUAAUAUAGGAGGUCGGUAGAGGGUUGGGGGGAAAUGGCCACCUAACUGCUACAGUUUGUACUAUAUGUUUUGGGAUGCCUAAUGUCGAGCGGUGCUUGUGUCCAGUAAAAUGUACUUUGCCCGACAGUUGAUUUAUGCGUGGGUUUUGGAAGGAAGCACCCCGGAGGACAUUUCAUACAGUGUUGGAUGAUUGAAGCUUUUGGCUUCUCAUUAACGAGGAUUAUUUUUUAAUAAGAGGCAACAUUCCCGUCGAUAACUAGGUGUUCAUGGUGACUUUCUCAACCUUAAAGCUCCGCACUAUCGAUCCAGCCUUCCAUAGGUGAUAUAUGAGUGCAUGCGCGUGGUGUUGUUAGUGCGUGUCCAAUGGAGGAGCUUUGGGGGCGGAGGCGGCAAACAAAAUGAGAUUUGGGAAGAAACUUAUGAGUUGGGGGGCGACUACAAAUUAUGACCUAGCUAAGCUCCGCCAUUAUGUGUGCCUAUGUUAUGAUCGAUGUUUCUGAAAGAACAUCACGUGAAAAACGUUGAGGACAUUUCACAUCGAGCGCUUCAAACAGUCUUCAAAUGCUCGAGUGGACGGCCCGGUCAGUGACCGGUAAGAGAAGGAUCCAAACGGACGCCUCAAACACCCGGGCUGACCGGCACCCCACAUAUCCAGCCCAAAUCUGGGGCGAAUAUGGGGUGGCCCGGGCACGACCGAGUGUGUCUGCCACAUCGGACCAGAUAACCCGACACCACCACAAAUUGGAUCAAAUUCACCGAGCGUAAAGACUACGAGGCAAGGAUGGCCGUGGAGCAAGAGGCAAGGAUGGCCUCAGAGGAGGAGGCAAGGAUGGCCAUGGAGGAGGAUGCAAGGCUCCUCGCGGAGCAGGACGCGUGGAUGGCAUCCGACGUUUAGUCCAGCCAGCGAGUGAUCCGGCACGCUCGGACUUUAAUUUCAUUUCGACAUGUCCGGCCUGUUGAAUUAUGAUUUAUUUUGCUUUGUCACAUUUCAUAAACUGUUGAACUGUGAUGAAUCUGUAUUAUCUGAUCGACGUGCAUGCAUUGCAUGGAUUUAGAGUUUCAAAUUUGAGGUGUGCGGCGCCUGGUACAACAUAUGAGGGGCUGCCUGACUACGUCCGUGGGAAUGCCCGAGCGUGUCCGUGGGCGUAUAGGGGGUGGAUUUGUUAGGUCCAGCUGUAGAGGCUCUUAUGUUAAGAAAAACAAACGGUGUUGGUUGAUUGACGCUUUUGGCUUCUCAUUAAUGAGGAUUUUUUUAGUGAGAGGCAACAUUUCUGCCGCUAACGAGGUAUCUGUGGUGACUUCCUUAACCUUGAAGCUCCGCAACUUCGAUCCGGUCUUCCAUAGUUCAUAUGUGAGUGCAUGUGUGUGGUGUUGUUAGUGCAUGUCCCAAUGGUGGAGCUUUUUUAUGGGGGGAGGCAAACAAAACGAGAUUUCGGAAGAAACAUCAUGAGUUGGGGGUCAGCUGCCCAUUAUGGCCCAGCCGAAGCUCCGCCACUAUGUGGGCCUAUGUUAUAAUCGGUGUUUCUAAAAAGACAUCACAUGAAAAACGUUGAGGGCCUGUUUAAUUCAAAGGAUUUCUAAUUACUAGGAUUUUUUUCUUACUGCAUUCUUUGAUUCAUAGGAUUGCAAUUCACAAGGAUUUUUGUUAGGAUUUAUUUGUACAAAAUUUCAUAAGAAAAUUUACAUCCACUCCCACUUUAUAUGCAGAAUCUUGUAUUUUCCUUGUGCACAAGUAGAAAUACAUAAAAUCAUGUAGUAUCAAAGAUGGCAUGACACUUUGUUCCUGUGUUUUGUUCUAUUCUCGCAUUUUAGAAAUCAUGCGAGUCAAAGUCAUAGAGGCCCUAGUAUUGGAAAACACAAGUGGGGCCCAAUGGAGCAAGAAUUUCAAUGUAAGAACGGGAACACAAUUUAGAUAAGAGAAAUUAUGAAUUUUUUGUCCAUGCAGAUAUUCACUAUGGAUUAGGAAUUCUUGAAGAAAAUGCAGGAUUUCGUUUUAAAAAAUUUAUGAAACUUGUAAACAUGAUAUUUUAACUUUUGAAAUUCCCACUUCUGUAAAAUGACUGCACUUUAAUGAUCCUUCCAAAAUGGAAAGCUUCCUGGCAGACGCCCAAUAGAAACGAUUUGCUAAACAGUCGAGAGUCGACAUCGAUGCAUUUUUUCUCACGGGUGAAUUCAUUCAAAAAUACGUUUAUUUGUUCAAAACAGCCUGAUUUUCUAGCACGUCCUCGCCAUAAUGCCUCCCUCAUUACUCGUACCUUCCUCAAACUCACCCUCCCCUCGUUCCCAUCCCCAUCAUAUCCUCCCGAAUCACCUCUGUCUCUGUGCCGAAGCUCGCCUCUCCCUCGCCACCCCACAUCAAUUCACCAUGAUUUAGUCAUCCCCCUCUGGACCUAAGAUUCACUGUCCCGGUGUGCCAUACCAUAUCGUGGUUGUGAAUGGUAUUAUCCACAACACGCCAAGGAAGCAACUCCCCCCCUCCCCGCGGUCGUCCCGCGCAUCUACAAUACCUUUGUGCCUCGCCUCUGCAGUCCACUGUCGAACAUCACGGAAGGCCACGAGGGGAGCAACAGGCGUUCAUGUGGCCCCGUCAACUUACCAUGCAUGGUUGUGUUAUGCUUCCAACAUUGUAGAUGUCCCCAUGGCAUCCCUGCAUGGACACUCAACAUGCAUCGCGGAGGAUCACGAACGUACAGGACCUCGUGCGGUUGCCUACAUGAAACCACGGCUCGCAUCCUAACCUGAACUACUUUAUUGUUAUUGGAAAUAUUCCCUAGAUGCUAGAGGCAAUAAUAAAUUAUUGUUUUAUUUCCAUGUUCAUAUUUAAUGUUUUUAUUUCCGUGAUAAAAUCACAAUGGUUCUUGAAUGUGAGAUUCGGAUGAAAACUCGGUUGCAUGUGUGGAAACAUAAACACCAAGUAGUUCCCCAGUCUCGUCUCAUAUGUUGCAUGAUGAUCUUGUUGUCCUAAUCAUAGGGCAUUGUUAAAGUAACAAGGAUGUUGACAACAAUAGGAGCACAUUGUUAGCAUAACAAUGGUGUUGGACAGACCCAACUAAUGACGAAAUCACAUCUUCACUCUGUUAUAAGUAUAUAAUCAAAUGACCCGCAAAAAAGUAUAAUUAUAUGAAGUUUUAGCAUAUAUUUGAAGGAAAUAUGCCCUAGAGGCAAUAAUAAAAUUGUUAUUUAUAUUUCCUUAUAUCAUGAUAAAUGUUUAUUAUUCAUGCUAGAAUUGUAUUAACCGGAAACUUAGUACAUGUGUGAAUACAUAGACAAACAGAGUGUCACUAGUAUGCCUCUACUUGACUAGCUCGUUGAAUCAAUGAUGGUUAUGUUUCCUAACCAUAAACAUGAGUUGUCAUUUGAUUAACGGGAUCACAUCAUUAGAGAAUGAUGUGAUUGACUUGACCCAUCCGUUAGCUUAGCACGAUGAUCGUUUAGUUUGUUGCUAUUGCUUUCUCCAUAACUUAUACAUGUUCCUAUGACUAUGAGAUCAUGCAACUCCCGAAUAUCGGAGGAACACUUUGUGUGCUACCAAACGUCACAACGUAACUGGGUGAUUAUAAAGGUGCUCUAUAGGUGUCUCCGAUGGUGUUUGUUGAGUUGGCAUAGAUCGAGAUUAGGAUUUGCCACUCCGAUUGUCGGAGAGGUAUCUCUGGGCCCUCUCGGUAAUGCACAUCAAUAUAAGCAUUGCAAGCAAUGUAGCUAAUGAGUUAGUUACGGGAUGUAGCAUUACGGAACAAGUAAAGAGACUUGCCGGUAAUGAGAUUGAACUAGGUAUUGAGAUACCGACGAUCGAAUCUUGGGCAAGUAACAUACCGAUGACAAAGGGAACAACGUAUAUUGUUAUGCGGUUUGACUGAUAAAGAUCUUCGUAGAAUAUGUAGAAACCAAUAUGAGCAUCCAGGUUCCGCUAUUGGUUAUUGACCGGAGAAGUGUCUCGGUCAUGUCUACAUAGUUCUCGAACCCGUAGGGUCCGCACGCUUAACGUUCGGUGACAAUCGGUAUUAUGAGUUUAUGUGUUUUGAUGAACCGAAGGUUGUUCGGAGUCCCGGAUGUGAUCACGGGUAUGACGAGGAGUCUCCAAAUGGUCGAGACAUAAAGAUCGAUAUAUUGGAUGACUAUGUUUGUGUUGGAAAUAUGCCCUAGAGGCAAUAAUAAAAUGAUUAUUAUAUUUCCUUGUUCAUGAUAAUUGUCUAUUAUUCAUGCUAUAAUUGUAUUAUCCGGAAAUCGUAAUACACGUGUGAAUACGUAGACCACAAUGUGUCCCUAGUGAGCCUCUAGUUGACUAGCUCGUUGAUCAACAGAUAGUCAUGGUUUCCUGGCUAUGGACAUGGGGAUGUCAUUGAUAACGGGAUCACAUCAUUAGGAGAAUGAUGUGAUGGACAAGACCCAAACCUAAGCAUAGCACAAAGAUCGUGUAAGUUCGUUUUGUGAGAGCUUUUCUAAUUUCAAGUAUCAUUUCCUUAGACCAUGAGAUUGUGCAACUCCCUGAUACCGUAGGAGUGCUUUGGGUGCAUCAAACGUCACAACAUAACUGGGUGGCUAUAAAGGUGCACUAUGGGUAUCUCCGAAAGUGUCUGUUGGGUUGGCACGAAUCGAGACUGGGAUUUGUCACUCCGUAUGACGGAGAGGUAUCUCUGGGCCCACUCGGUAAUGCAUCAUCAUAAUGAGCUCAAUGUGACCAAGGGGUUGGUCACGGGAUCAUGCAUUACGGUACGAGUAAAGUGACUUGCCGGUAACGAGAUUGAACAAGGUAUUGGGAUACCGACGAUCGAGUCUCGGGCAAGUAACGUACCGAUUGACAAAGGGAAUUGAAUAUGGGAUUGAUUAAGUCCUCGACAUCGUGGUUCAUCUGAUGAGAUCAUCGAGGAGCAUGUGGGAGACAACAUGGAUAUCUAGAUCCCGCUGUUGGUUAUUGACCGGAGAGGCGUCUCGGUCAUGUCUGCGUGUCUCCCGAACCCGUAGGGUUGACACACUUAAGGUUCGGUGACGCUAGGGUUGUAGAGAUAUUAGUAUGCAGUAACCCGAAAGUUGUUCGGAGUCCCGGAUGAGAUCCCGAACGUCAAGAGGAGUUCCGGAAUGGUUCGGAAGUAAAGAUUUAUAUAUAGGAAGUCCAGUUUCGGCCAGCGGGAAGGUUUCGGGGGUUACCGGUAUUGUAUCGGGACCACCGGAAGGGUCUCGGGGGUCCACCGGAUGGGGCCACCUAUCCCGGAGGGCCCCAUGGGCUGAAGUGGCGUGGGGACCAGCCCCUGAUGGGCUGGUGCGCCCCACCCAAGGGCCCAAGGCGCCUAGGGUUGGAAACCCUAGGGGGCCGUUGCCCCCCGAGGGGGCAUGCGCCCCCCUGGUUGGAAACCCUAAGGGGGCCGUUGCCCCAGGGGCACCCCCCCUUUAGAUGGGAUCUCCAAGGGGGCAUGCGCCCCCCUAGCCCAUAUAUAUAGUGGAAGGGGGGAGGGCAGCCAUACCUUGCUCUUGGCGCCUCCCUCUCCCUCCGUAACACCUCUCCUCCCCGCUUGUGCUUGGCGAAGCCCUGCCGGGACCCUGCUGCAUCCACCACCACGCCGUCAUGCUACUGGAUCUUCAUCAACCUCUCCUUCCCCUUGCUGGAUCAAGAAGGAGGAGACGUCUUCCCAACCGUACGUGUGUUGAACGCGGAGGUGCUGUUCGUUCGGCACUUGGUCAUCGGUGAUUUGGAUCACCGCGAGUACGACUGCAUCAUCCCCGUUCACUUGAACGCUUCCGCUCGUGAUCUACAAGGGUAUGUAGAUGCACUCCUAUCUCCCUCGCUGCUAGAUGACUCCAUAGAUUGAUCUUGGUGAUGCAUAGAAAAUUUUAAAAUUCUGCUACGAUCCCCAACAGUUUGGACAUCAGAAUGGUUCCAAAUGAGUUUGGACAUUAACCGGAGUACCGGGGGGUUUCUGGAACCCCCCCCGGGAGUAUAUGGGCCCUAAUGGGCUUUAGGGGAGAGAGGGAGGGGUUGCCUAGGGCAGGCCGCGCAGCCCCACCCAAGGAGUAGUCCAAAUUGGACUAGGGGGGAGGGGCGGCGCCCCCUCCUUCCUUCUCUUCUCUCUUUCCUUUCCUACUCUCCUACUCCUACUACAUGGAAAGGGGGGAAUCCUACUCCUGGUGGGAGUAGGACUCCCAGGGCGUGCCAUAGUAGAGGGCCGGCCCUCCCCCCUCCUACACUCCUUUAUAUACGGGGAGGGGGGCACCCCAUAGACACACAAGUUGAUCAUUGAUCCCUUAUCCGUGUGCGGUUCCCCCUCCACCAUAAUCCACCUCGGUCAUAUCGUAGUGGUGCUUAGGCAAAGCCCUGUUCCGGUAGCAUCAUCAUCACCAUCAUCACGCUGUUGUGCUGACGAAGCUCUCCCUCGACACUCUACUGGAUCGUGAGUUCGUGGGACAUCACCGAGCUGAACGUGUGUAGAUCACGGAGGUGCCGUACGUUCGGUACUAGGAUCGGUCGAUCAUCAAGACGUACGACUACAUCAACCACGUUGUCAUAAUGCUUCUGCUUAGUCUUCCCUCUCGUUGCUAUGUAUCACCAUGAUCUUGCGUGUGCGUAGGAUUUUUUUUGAAAUUACUGCGUUCCCCAACGGUGGCAUCCGAGCCAGGUCUAUGCGUAGAUGUUAUAUGCACGAGUAGAACACAAAGGGGUUGUGGGUGUGGGUAUAUACAUAUUGCUUGUCGUCACUAGUUGUUUCUUGAUUCGGCGAUAUUGCUGGAUGAAGCGGCCCAGACCAACAUUACGCGUACGCUUACGCGAGACUGGUUCUACCGACGUGCUUCGCACAUAGGUGGCUGGUGGAUGUCAGUUUCUCCAACUUUAUUUGAAUCGGAUUCAAUGAACAUGGUUCUUUCUGAAGAUAAAAAAGCAAUCACUAUACCGUGUUCUGGUUUUUGAUGCGUAGGUAAGAACGGUUCUUGCUCAGCCCGUAGCAGCCACGUAAAACUUGCAACAACAAAGUAGAGACGUCUAACUUGUUUUUGCAGGGCAUGUUGUGAUGUGAUAUGGUCAAGACAUGAUGCUAAAUUUUAUUGUAUGAGAUGAUGAUGUUUUGUAAACACAGUUAUCGGCAACUAGCAGGAGCCAUAUGAUUGUCGCUUUUAUUGUAUGAGAUGCAAUCGCCAUGUAAUUGCUUUACUUUAUCACUAAGCGGUAGUGAUAGUCAUAGAAGCAAUAGUUGGCGAGAUGACAAUGAUGCUUCGAUGGAGAUCAAGGUGUCAAGCCGGUGACGAUGGUGAUCAUGACGGUGCUUUGAAGAUGGAGAUCAAAGGCACAAGAUGAUGAUGGCCAUAUCAUAUCACUUAUAUUGAUUGCAUGUGAUGUUUAUCCUUUAUGCAUCUUAUUUUGCUUAGUUCGACGAUAGCAUUAUAAGAUGAUCUCUCACUAAAUUUAAAGGUAUAAGUGUUCUCCCUGAGUAUGCACCAUUGCUACAGCUCGUCGUGUCGAGACAUCACCUGAUGAUCGGGUGUGAUAAGCUCUACGUUCACAUACAGCGGGUCCAAGCCAGUUUUGCACACGCAGAAUACUCGGGUUAAACUUGACGAGCCUAUCAUAUGCAGUUAUGGCCUCAGAACACUGAGACCGAAAGGUCGAGCGUGAAUCAUAUAGUAGAUAUGAUCAACAUAGUGAUGUUCACCAUUGAAAACUACUCCAUCUCUCGUGAUGAUCGGACAUGGUUUAGUUGAUAUGGAUCACGUGAUGACUUAGAUGAUUAGAGAGAUGUCUAUCUAAGUGGGAGUUCUUAAGUAAUUUGAUUAAUUGAACCUUAAUUUAUCAUGAACUUAGUACCUGAUAGUAUUUUGCAUGUCUAUGUUGUUGUAGAUAGAUGACCCGUGCUGUUGUUGGGUUGAAUUUUAAUGCGUUCCUAGAGAAAGCUAAGUUGAAAGAUGAUGGUAGAAACUACACGGGCUGGGUCCGUAACUUGAGGAUUAUCCUCAUUGCUGCACAGAAGAAUUACGUCCUGGAAGCACCGCUAGGUAACAAACCCGCUGCAGGAGCAACGCUAGAUGUUGUGAACACCUGGCAGAGCAAAGCUGAUGACUACUUGAUAGUUCAGUGUGCCAUGCUUUACGGCUUAGAACCGGGACUUCAACAACAUUUUGAACUUCAUGGAGCAUAUGAGAUGUUUCAGGAGUUGAAGUUAAUGUUUCUAGCAGCCCGGAUUGAGAGAUAUGAAGUCUCCAAUAAGUUCUACAACUGCAAAAUGGAGGAUAAUAGUUCUUUCAGGGAACAUAUACUCAUAAUGUCUGGGUACCACAACCACUUGACUCAGCUGGGAGUUAAUCUUCCUGAUGAUAGUGUCAUUGACAGAGUUCUUCAAUCACUGCCACCAAGCUACAAGAGCUUCGUGAUGAACUAUAAUAUGCAAGGGAUGGAUAAGUCGAUUCUUGAGCUCUUCGCAAUGCUAAAGGCUGCGGAGGUAGAAAUCAAGAAGGAGCAUCAAGUUUUGAUGGUCAACAAGACCACCAGUUUCAAGAAAAAGGGUAAAGGGAAGAAAGGGAACUUCAAGAAGAACAACAAGCCAGUUGCUGCUCAACUGAAGAAACCCAAGUCUGGACCUAAGCCUGAGACCGAGUGCUUCUACUGCAAAGGGACUGGUCACUGGAAGCGGAAUUGCCCCAAGUAUUUGGCAGAGAAGAAGGAUGGCAAAGUGAAAGGUAUAUUUGAUGUACAUGUUAUUGAUGUGUACCUUACUAAUGCUCGCAGUAGUGCCUGGGUAUUUGAUGCUGGUUCAGUUGGUAACAUUUGCAACUCGAAAUAGGGGCUACGGAUUAAGCGAAGAUUGGCUAAGGACGAGGUGACGAUGCGCGUGGGAAAUGGUUCCAAAGUCGAUGUGAUCGCCGUCGGCACGCUGCCUCUACAUCUACCUUCGGGAUUAGUUUUAGACCUAAAUAAUUGUUAUUUGGUGCCAGCAUUGAGCAUAAACAUUAUAUCUGGAUCUUGUUUGAUGCGAGACGGUUAUUCAUUUAAAUAAGAGAAUAAUGGUUUUUCUAUUUAUAUGAGUAAUAUCUUUUUAUGGUCAUGCACCCUUGAUGAGUGGUCUAUUUUUACUAAAUCUUGAUAGUAGUGAUACACAUGUUCAUAGUAUUGAAGCCAAAAGAUGCAGAGUUGAUAAUGAUAGUGCAACUUAUUUGUGGCACUGCUGUUUAGGUCAUAUUGGGGUAAAGCGCAUGAAGAAACUCCAUUCUGACGGACUUCUGGAAUCACUUGAUUAUGAAUCACUUGGUACUUGCGAACCAUGCCUCAUGGGCAAGAUGACUAAAACUCCGUUCUCCAGAACAAUGGAGCGGGCAACCGAGUUAUUGGAAAUCAUACAUACUGAUGUAUGCGGUCCAUUGAACAUUGAGGCUCGCGGCGGAUAUCGUUAUUUUCUCACCUUCACAGAUGAUUUGAGCAGAUAUGGGUAUAUCUACUUAAUGAAACAUAAGUCUGAAACAUUGGAAAAGUUCAAAGAAUUUCAGAGUGAAGUGGAAAAUCAUUGUAACAAGAAAAUAAAGUUUCCACGAUCUGAUCGUGGAGGAUAAUAUUUGAGUUACGAGUUUGGUCUUCAUUUAAAACAAUGCGGAAUAGUUUCGCAACUCACGCCACCCGGAACACCACAGAGUAAUGGUGUGUCCGAACGUCAUAACCGCACUUUACUAGACAUGGUGCGAUCUAUGAUGUCUCUUACUGAUUUACCGCUAUCAUUUUGGGGUUAUGCUUUAGAGACGGCUGCAUUCACGUUAAAUAGGGCACCAUCUAAAUCCGUUGAGAUGACACCUUAUGAACUGUGGUUUGGCAAGAAACCCAAGUUGUCGUUUCUUAAAGUUUGAGGUUGCGAUGCUUAUGUGAAGAAACUUCAACUUGAUAAGCUCGAACCCAAAUCGAAGAAAUGUGUCUUCAUAGGAUACCCAAAGGAGACUGUUGGCUACACCUUCUAUCAUAGAUCCGAAGGCAAGAUAUUCGUCGCUAAGAAUGGAUCCUUUCUAGAGAAGGAGUUUCUCUCGAAAGAAGUGAGUAGGAGGAAAGUAGAACUUGACGAGGUAAUUGUAACUUCUCCCUUAUUGGAAAGUAGUUCAUCACUGAAAUCAGUUCCAGUGAUUCCUACACUAGUAAGUGAGGAAGCUAAUGAUGAUGAUCAUGAAACUUCUGAUCAAGUUACUACCAAACCUUGUAGGUCAAACAGAGUAAGAUCUGCACUAGAGUGGUACGUUAAUCCUGUUCUGGAAGUCAUGUUACUUGACCAUGACGAACCUACGAACUAUGAGGAAGCGAUGAUGAGCCCACAUUCCGCAAAAUGGCUUGAGGCCAUGAAAUCUGAGAUGGGAUCCAUGUAUGAAAACAAAGUGUGGACUUUGGUUGACUUGCCCGAUGAUCGGCAGACCAUAGAGAAUAAAUGGAUCUUCAAGAAGAAGACUGACGCUGAUGGUAAUAUUACUGUCUACAAAGCUCAACUUGUUGCAAAAGGUUUUCUACAAGUUCAAGGAGUUGACUAUGAUGAGACCUUCUCACCCGUAGCGAUGCUUAAGUCCGUCUGAAUCAUAUUAGCAAUUGCCGCAUUUUAUGAUUAUGAAAUUUGACAAAUGGAUGUCAAACUGCAUUCCGUAAUGGAUAUCUUAAAGAAGAGGUGUAUAUGAUGCAACCAGAAGGUUUUGUCGAUCCACAAGGUGCUAACAAAGUGUGCAAGCUCCAGCGAUCCAUUUAUGGACUGGUGCAAGCCUCUCGGAGUUGGAAUAUACGCUUUGAUAGUGUGAUCAAAGCAUAUGGUUUUAUACAGACUUUUGGAGAUGCCUGUAUUUACAAGAAAGCGAGUGGGAGCUCCGUAGCAUUUCUGAUAUUAUAUGUAGAUGACAUAUUGUUGAUCGGAAAUGAUACUUAAUUUCUGAAUAGCAUAAAAGGUUACUUGAAUAAGAAUUUUUCAAUGAAAGACCUUGGUGAAGCUGCUUAUAUAUUGGGCAUCAAGAUCUAUAGAGAUAGAUCAAGACGCUUAAUUGGACUUUCACAAAGCACAUACCUUGAUAAAGUUUUGAAGAAGUCAAAAUGGAUCAGGCAAAGAAAGGGUUCUUGCCUGUAUUGCAAGGUGUGAAGUUGAGUUAGACUCAAUGCCCGACCACUAAAGAAGAUAGAGAGAAAAUGAAAGGUGUUCCCUAUGCUUCAACCAUAGGCUCUAUCAUGUAUGCAAUGAUGUGUACUAGACCUAAUGUGUGCCUUGCUAUCAGUUUAGCAGAGAGGUACCAAAGUAAUCCAGGAGUGGAUCAUUGGACGGCGGUCAAGAAUAUCCUGAAAUACCUGAAAAGGACUAAGGAUAUGUUUCUCGUAUAUGGAGGUGACAAAGAGCUCGUCGUAAACGGUUAUGUCGAUGCAAGCUUUGAUACUGAUCCGGAUGACUCUAAGUCACAAACUGGAUACGUGUUUUUACUAAAUGGUGGAGCUGUCAGUUGGUGCAGUUCCAAGCAGAGCGUCGUGGCGGGAUCUACGUGUGAAGCGGAAUACAUACCUGCUUCGGAAGCAGCAAAUAAAGGAGUCUGGAUGAAGAAGUUCAUAUCCGAUCUAGGUGUCAUACCUAGUGCAUCGGGUCCAAUGAAAAUCUUUUGUGGCAAUACUGGUGCAAUUGCCUUGGCAAAGGAAUCCAGAUUUCACAAGAGAACCAAGCACACCAAGAGACGGUUCAAUUCCAUCCACGAUCAAGUCAAGGAGGGAGACAUAGAGAUUUGCAAGAUACAUACGAAUCUGAAUGUUGCAGACCCGUUGACUAAGCCUCUCUCACGAGCAAAACAUGAUCAGCACCAAGACUCCAUGGGUGUUAGAAUCAUUACAAUGUAAUCUAGAUUAUUGACUCUAGUGCAAGUGGGAGACUGAAGGAAAUAUGCCCUAGAGGCAAUAAUAAAGUUGUUAUUUAUAUUUCCUUAUAUCAUGAUAAAUGUUUAUUAUUCAUGCUAGAAUUGUAUUGACCAGAAACUUAGUACAUGUGUGAAUACAUAGACAAACAGAGUGUCACUAGUAUGCCUCUACUUGACUAGCUCGUUGAAUCAAUGAUGGUUAUGUUUCCUAACCAUAGACAUGAGUUGUCAUUUGAUUAACGGGAUCACAUCAUUAGAGAAUGAUGUGAUUGACUUGACCCAUCUGUUAGCUUAGCAUGAUGAUCGUCUAGUUUGUUGCUAUUGCUUUCUCCAUAACUUAUACAUGUUCCUAUGACUAUGAGAUCAUGCAACUCCCGAAUACCGGAGAACACCUUGUGUGCUACCAAACGUCACAAUGUAACUGGGUGAUUAUAAAGGUGCUCUAUAGGUGUCUUUGUUGGUGUUUGUUGAGUUGGCAUAGACCGAGAUUAGGAUUUGUCACUCCGAUUGUCGGAGAGGUAUCUCUAGGCCCUCUCGGUAAUGCACAUCAAUAUAACCCUUGCAAACAAUGUAGCUAAUGAGUUAGUUACAUGAUGUAGCAUUACGGAACGAGUAAAGAGACUUGCCGGUGACGAGAUUGAACUAGGUAUUGAGAUGCCGACGAUCGAAUCUCGGGCAAGUAACAUACCGAUGACAAAGGGAACAACGUAUAUUGUUAUGUGACACGUCUCCAACGUAUUUAUAAUUUUUGAUUGUUCCAUGCUAUUAUAUUAUCUAUUUUGGAUGUUAAUGGGCUUUAUUUUACACUUCUAUAUUAUUUUUGGGACUAACCUACUAACCCAAGGCCCAUUGCAAAUUGUUGUUUUUUGCCUAUUUCAGUGUUUCGCGGAAAAGGAAUAUCAAACGGAGUCCAAAAGGAAUGAAACCUUUGGGAGCAUGAUUUUUGGAACAAACAUGAUCCAGAGGACUUGGAGUAGACGUAAAGCAACCAAUGAGGUGGCCACGAGGCAGGGGCGCGCCUACCCCCUGGGCGCGCCCUCCCCCCUCGUGGGCCCCUCGUGGCUCCACCGACCUACUUCUUCCUCCUAUAUAUGUUCAUAUACCCCGAAAACAUCCAGGAGCACCAUGAAACCAUAUUUCCACUGCCGCAACCUUCUGUACCCAAGAGAUCCCAUCUUGGGGCCUUUUCCGGAGCUCCGCCGGAGGGGGCAUCAAUCACGGAGGGCCUCUACAUCAACUCCAUGGCCCCUCCGAUGAUGUGUGAGUAGUUUACUUCAGACCUUCGGGUCCAUAGCUAUUAGCUAGAUGGCCUAUUCUCUCUCUAUGAAUCUCAAUACAAAGUUAUCCUUGAUCUUCUUGGAGAUCUAUUCGAUGUAACUCUUUUUGCAGUGUGUUUGUCGAGAUCCGAUGAAUUGUGGGUUUAUGAUCAAGUCUAUCUAUGAACAAUAUUUGAUUCUUCUCUGAAAUAUUUUAUGUAUGAUUGGUUAUCGUUGCAAGUCUCUUCGAAUUAUUAGUUUGGUUUGGCCUACUAGAUUGAUCUUUCUUGCAAUGGGAGAAGUGCUUAGCUUUGGGUUCAAUCUUGCGGUGCUCGAUCCCAGUGACAGAAAGGGAAAUGACACGUAUUGUAUUGUUGCCAUCGAGAAUAAAAAGAUGGGCUUUAUAUCAUUUUGCUUGAGUUUAUCCCUCUACAUCAUGUCAUCUUACCUAAUGCGUUACUCUGUUCUUAUGAACUUAAUACUCUAGAUGCAUGCUGGAUAGCGGUUGAUGUGUGGAGUAAUAGUAGUAGAUGCAGGCAGGAGUCAGUCUACUGAUCACGGACGUGGUGCCUAUAUACAUGAUCAUACCUAUAUAUUCUCAUAAUUAUUCGCUUUUCUAUCAAUUGCUCGACAGUAAUUUGUUCACCCACCGUAAUACUUAUGCUAUCUUGAGAGAAGCCACUAGUGAAACCUGUGGCCCCCAGGUCUAUUAUCCAUUAUAUUAAUCUCUCAUCAACAAGUUAUUUCUGGCACCAUUUAUUUUGCAAUCUUUACUUCAAAUCUAUAUCAUAAAAAUACCAAAAAUAUUUAUCUUAUCAUUAUUAUCUCUAUCAUAUCUCACUCUCAUAAGUGACCGUGAAGGGAUUGACAACCCCUUUAUCGCGUUGGUUGCGAGGUUCUUAUUUGUUUGUGUAGGUACGAGGGACUUGCGUGUAGUCUCCUACUGGAUUGAUACCUUGGUUCUCAAAAACGAAGGGAAAUACUUAUGCUACUUUGCCACAUCACCCUUUCCUCUUCAAGGGAAAUCCAAUGCAGUGCUCAAGAGGUAGCAUUAUGCGGUUUGACCGAUAAAGAUCUUCGUAGAAUAUGUAGGAACCAAUAUGAGCAUCCAGGUUCCGCUAUUGGUUAUUGACUGGAGACGUGUCUUGAUAACCCACAAGUAUAGGGGAUCGCAACAGUUUUCGAGGGUAGAGUAUUCAACCCAAAUUUAUUGAUUCAACACAAGGGGAACCAAAGAAUAUUCUCAAGUAUUAGCAGCUAAGUUGUUAAUUAUACCACACCUGGAAACUUAAUAUCUGCAACAAAGUGUUUAGUAGCAAAGUAAUAUGAUAAUAGUGGUAACGGUAGCAAAAGAUAACGGUAGCAAAAGUAAUGUUUUUGGUAUUUUGUAGUGAUGAUAGCAAUAGCAAUGGAAAAGUAAAUAAGUGCAGAACAAUAUAUGGAAAGCUCGUAGGCAAUGGAUCGGUGAUAGAGAAUUAUGCCGGAUGUGGUUCAUCAUGUAACAGUCAUAACAUAGGGUGACACAGAACUAGCUCCAAUUCAUCAAUGUAAUGUAGGCAUGUAUUCCGAAUAUAGUCAUACGUGCUUAUGGAAAAGAACUUGCAUGACAUCUUUUGUCCUACCCUCCCGUGGCAGCGGGGUCCUAACGGAAACUAAGGGAUAUUAAGGCCUCCUUUUAAUAGAGUACCGGACCAAAGCAUUAACACAUAGUGAAUACAUGAACUCCUCAAACUACGGUCAUCACCGGUAAGUAUCCCGAUUAUUGUCACUUCGGGGUUAACGGAUCAUAACACAUAAUAGGUGACUAUAGAUUUGCAAGAUAGGAUCAAGAACUCUCAUAUAUUAAUGAAAACAUAAUAGGUUCAGAUCUGAAAUCAUGGCACUCGGGCCCUAGUGACAAGCAUUAAGCAUAGCAAAGUCAUAGCAACAUCAAUCUCAGAACAUAGUGGAUACUAGGGAUCAAACCCUAACAAAACUAACUCGAUUACAUGAUAAAUCUCAUCCAACCCAUCACCGUGAAGCAAGCCUACGAUGGAAUUACUCACACACGGCGGUGAGCAUCAUGAAAUUGGUGAUGUAGGAAGGUUGAUGAUUACGAUGGCGACGGAUUCCCCUCUCCGGAGCCCCGAGCGGACUCCAGAUCAGCCCUUCCAAGAGGUUUUAGGGCUUGGCGGUGGCUCCGUAUCGUAAACCGCAAUGAAUCCUUCUCUCUGAUUUUUCUCUCUCUGAAACCAAAUAUAUAGAGUUGGAGUUGAGGUCGGAGGAGCUCCAGGGGGCCCACGAGGUAGGGGGCGCGCCCUAGGGGGGAAGGCGCGCCCCCACCCUCGUGGCUAGGGUGUGGGCCCCCUGGUCUUCAUCUUUUGCAAGGAUUUUUUUAUUAUUUCCGAAAAGAUGUUCAGUGAAGUUUCAGGUCAUUCCGAGAACUUUUGUUUCUGCACAUAAAUAACACCAUGGCAAUUCUGCUGAAAACAGCGUCAGUCCGGGUUAGUUCCAUUCAAAUCAUGCAAGUUAGAGUCCAAAACAAGGGCAAAAGUGUUUGCAAAAGUAGAUACGACGGAGAUGUAUCAACUCACCCAAGAUUAAACCUUUGCUUGUCCUCAAGCAAUUCAGUUGACAAACUGAAAGUGAUAAAAAAAACUUUUACAAACUUUGCUUGCUCUUGUUGUUGUAAAUAUGUAAAGCCAGCAUUCAAGUUUUCAGCAAAGAUUAUGAACUAACCAUAUUCACGAUAACACAUAGGUCUCAUGUUUACUCCUAUCAAUGGCAUAAUCAACUAGCGAGCAAUAAUAAUAAAUCUCGGAUGACAACACUUUCUCAAAACAAUUAUAGUAUGAUAUAACAAUAUGGUAUCUCGCUAGCCCUUUCUGAGACCGCAAAACAUAAAUGCAGAGCACCUUUAAAGAUCAAGGUCUGACUAGACAUUGUAAUUCAUGGUAAAAGAGAUCCAGUCAAGUCAUACUCAAUGUAAACUAAUAGUAAUGAAUGCAAAUGAUAGUGGUGCUCUCCAACUGGUGUUUUUUGAUAAGAAGAUGAUGGCUCAACAUAAAAGUAAAUAGAUAGGCCCUUCGUGGAGGGAAGCUGGGAUUUGUAGAGGUGCCAAAGCUCAGUUUUGAAAUAGAGAUGAAUAAUAUUUUGAGUGGUAUACUUUCAUUGUCAACAUCACAACCAAGAGAUGGCGAUAUCUUCCAUGCUACACACAUUAUAGACGGCUCCCAAACAGAAUGGUAAAGUUUAUACUCCCCCUUCCACCAACAAGCAUCAAUCCAUGGCUUGCUCGAAACAACGAGUGCCUCCAACUAACAAGAGUCCCAGGGGGAGUUUUGUUUGCAAUUAUUUUGAUUUAGUUUGCAUAGAGCAUGGGACCGGGCAUCCCCGUGACCAGCCAUUUUUCUUGUGAGUGAGGAGCGGAGUCCACUCCUCUUGAGAAUAAUCCGCCUAACAUGGAAGAUACGAACAACCCUAGUUGAUAUAUGAGCUAUUCGAGCAUACAAAACAUGAUAUUUAUUUGAAGGUUUAGAGUUUGGCACAUAGAAAUUUACUUGGAACGGCAGGUAGAUACCGUAUAUAGGUAGGUAUGGUGGACUCAUAUGGAAUAACUUUGGGGUUUAUGGAGUUGGAUGCACAAGUAGUAUUCCCGCUUAGUACAGGUGAAGGCUAGAAAAAGACUGGAAAGCGACCAGCUAAAGAGCGACAACAGUCAUGAACAUGCAUUAAAAUUAAUCAACACCGAAUGCAAGCAUGAUAGGAUAUAGUCCACCAUGAACAUAAGUAUCGUGAAGGCGAUGUUGAUUUUGUUUCAACUACAUGCGUGAACAUGUGCCAAGUCAAGUCACUUAAAUCAUUCAGAGGAGGAUACCACCCUAUCAUACCACAUCAAAACCAUUUUAAUAGUAUGUUGGCACGCAAGGUAAACCAUUAUAAACUCCUAGCUAAUCAAGCAUGGCACAAGAAACUAUGAUCUCUAGUUGUCAUUGCAAACAUGUUUAUUCAUAAUAGGAUGAUAUAGGAACGAUGAACUAAUCAUAUUUACAAAAAACAAGAGAGGUUGAGUUCAUACCAGCUUUUCUCAUCUCAGUCAGUCCAUCAUAUAAUCAUCAUUAUUGCCUUUCACUUGCACGACCGAACGAUGUGGAUAAUAAUAAUAGUGCACGUGCAUUGGACUAAGCUGGAAUCUGUAAGCAUUCAAUAAACAGGAGAAGACAAGUCAAUAUGGGCUCUUUUGUCAGAUCAACAAUAAUGCAUAUAAGAGCCACUUCAACAAUUUAAUCAUGGUCUUCUCCUAUCGACCCCCAAAGAAAAGAAAUAAAAUUAUUUACAUGGGAAAGCUCCCAACAAGCAAAAGAAGAACAAGAAAUCUUUUUGGGUUUUCUUUUUAAUUACUACUACAAGCAUGGAAAGUAAACUAAUUAAAAGCUACAACUAAUUUUUUUUGGUCUUUCUUAAGGUUUAUUAAACACACAAGAAGAAAGCAUAAAAAGGAAAAUAAACUAGCAUGGAUGAUACAGUGAAAAAGUAUGAGCACCGACAUCUAGCAAUGAGUGUGUGUGAACAUGAAUGUAAUGUCGGUGAGAAAUACAUACUCCCCCAAGCUUAGGCUUUUGGCCUAAGUUGGUCUAUGUCCACGGUUGGUCUGGCGGAUAUCCAUAAUAAUAGUUGGGGUCGUACUGCGAAGAAGAAGACUCUGAUUGCCACUGGUUGGCAAUCAUCUCCGGUUCCCAAUAGUAAUUAGACUGUCAUGGAGGAUCAACUUGUGGUUCCGGCUCUUGCUCUGUGGCUGAUGUAGGGUUCCGGUAGGCGUGAAUAGCCUCUAACGGGACAAGGUACUUACUGUUCGCGUCGGUCGUGGAGGAAGGCGGUGAGGCCUGCAUUCUCAUCCAAUUCAUAAAAAUCUUCAUAAAUCCCGGCUGCUCUCAAGAAAUCAUCGGAAGGCCAUUCACACGAUCGAACCUCUGCGCUGCGAGGCAGAUUAUAUUUGGGCUUCUGUGCCUUUUCCUUAGAGCUUCGGCUCGAUGAGCCCCUCAAAAAUCUCUUCAUUAUUUUCUGAAAAAUUCUGAAAUUUUUAGUAACUUCAAAAUAAAAGUGAACAAAGCUCAAUAAUAUUGACAGCAACUACUCCUACAAGUGCCUAGAUCCUAUAUCAUGCAUCAAAACUACUUGGAACCAUAUAAAUUUGACAUGCAAGCUCAAGAACAUGGUCACCUAGUCAGCAUAAAUUUGCAAUGAAUAAAGCACUAGAACAAAAACUAAUUGGACAAAUGGAGGAGUCACAUACCAAGGAACAAUCCCCCAAGCAUUUUUGUGAGAGGUGCUUUGCGCAAGGAGAUCAAAAAUGGCAGCAAAAUGAGUUAGAACUCGUGCUUGAGCUGGAUAUUCGUGUUUGUGAGAGGAAGAAAAAGUGUGUGGGUGCAGGAAUAAGUGGAGGAGGGCCACCAUGGGCCCAUGAGGCAGGGGGCACGCCUAGGGGGGUAGGGCGCGCCCUCCACCCUCGUGGCCAGGUGGAUGACCCCCUGCUGUGUUCUCAGUGCCAAAUAUUCUCAAAUAUUCUAGAAAAAAUCAUAUUUAAAUUUCAGGGCAUUUGGAGAACUUUUAUUUUCGGGGUAUUUUUGUAUUGCACGGAUAAUCAGAUAACAGACAGAAAAAUACUUUAUUUAAUAUAAAUAAUAGAAAGUAAAAGGAGGGUACAAAAGGUUGUGCCUUCUAGUUUCAUCCAUCUCAUGUUCAUCAAAAGGAAUCCACUAACAAGGUUGAUCAAGUCUUGUUAACGAACUCAUUCCGAAUAACAUGGAACCGGAGAAAUUUCGAAUAACACUAUGUUACCUCAACGGGGAUAUGCACAUCCCCAAUAAUAAGAAUAUCAUAUUUCUUCUUGACAGUAGGAAGAGGAAAUUCAAAACCUCCAAAUAUAAUCGAUGAAAUUUUUCCAAUAGAGUUGAUACUACGAACUUGAGGUUGUUUCCUCGGAAAGUGUACUGUAUGCUCAUUACCAUUAACAUGAAAAGUGAUAUUGCCUUUAGUGCAAUCAAUAACAGCCUCUGCGGUAUUCAAAAAGGGUCUUCCAAGAAUAAUAGACAUACUAUCGUCCUCGGGAAUAUCAAGAAUAACAAAGUCCGUUAAAAUAGUAACGUUUGCAACUACAAUAGGCACAUCCUCACAAAUACCGACAGGUAUAGCAGUUGAUUUAUCAGCCAUUUGCAAAGAUAUUUCAGUAGGUGUCAACUUAAUCAAAUCAAGUCUAUGAUAUAAAGAGAGAGGCAUAACACUAACACCAGCUCCAAGAUCACAUAAAGCAGUUUUAACAUAAUUUCUUUUAAUGGAGCAUGGUAUAGUGGGUACUCCUGGAUCUCCAAGUUUCUUUGGUAUUCCACCCUUAAAAGUAUAAUUAGCAAACAUGGUGGAAAUUUCGGCUUCCGGUAUCUUUCUUUUAUUUGUAACAAUAUCUUUCAUGUACUUAGCAUAAGGAUUCAUUUUGAGCAUAUCAGUUAAUCGCAUACGCAAAAAGAUAGGUCUAAUCAUUUCAGCAAAGCGCUCAAAAUCCUCGUCAUCCUUUUUCUUGGAUGGUUUGGGAGGAAAGGCAUGGGUUUCUGAACCCGUGGUUCUCUUUCUUUACCAUGUUUCCUAGCAACAAAGUCUUUCUUAUCAUAACGUUGAUUCUUUGAUUGUGGGUUAUCAAGAUCAACAAGAGGUUCAAUUUCUAUAUCAUUAUAAUUCUAGGUUGAGCAUCAUCAUGAACAUUAUCAUUAACAUUAUCACUAGUUUCAGGUUCAUUACCAGAUUGUGUUUCAGCAUCAGAAAUAGAAAUAUCAUUUGGAUUCUCAGGUGUUUCAGUAAUAGGUUCACUAGAAGCAUGCAAAGUCCUAUCAUUUUUAUUUUUCUUCCUUUUAGAAGGACUAGGUGCAUCUAUAUUAUUUCUCUGAGAAUCUUGCUCAAUUCUCUUAGGAUGGCCUUCAGGAUACAGAGGUUCCUCGGUCAUUCUACCACCUCUAGUCAUAACUCUAACAUCAUUAUCAUUAUUCUUACUAUUCAAUUCAUUGAGCAAAUCAUUUUGAGCUUUAAGUACUUGUUCUACUUGAGUAGUAACCAUAGAAGCAUGUUUACUAAUAAGUUUAAGUUCACCUUUGACAUAAGCCAUAUAAUCACCCAAGUGUUCAAGCAUACCAGCACUGCGUUUUAAUUCUCUACCAAAAUAGGCAUCGAAGUCUUCUUGCUUAGCCAUAAAGUUAUCAAACUCAUCUAAGCAUGGGCUAGCAAAUUUAGUAAAUGGAAUUUCAGCUUUAUCAUAUCUAUAGAGAGAAUUUACCUUUACGACCUAUGUUGGGUUAUCAAGACCAUGAAUUUCUUCAAUAGGUAAUGGAUUAAGAUCAUAUGUUUCUUCAACGGGCGGUAAAUUCUUAACAUCUUUAGCUUUAAUACCUUUUUCUUUCAUAGAUUUCUUUGCCUCUUGCAUAUCUUCAGGACUGAGAAAUAGGAUACCCCUCUUCUUCGGAGUUGGUUUAGGAAUAGGCUCAGGAGCUGGCUCAGAAAGUGUCCAAUUAUUUUCAUUUGUCAACAUAUUAUUCAAUAGAAUUUCAGCUUCAUCCGGUGUUCUUUCCCUGAAAACAGAACCAACACAACUAUCCAGGUAAUCUCUGCGGUUAGUCCAUCAUAAAAGAUAUCAAGUAUUUCAUUUUUCUUAAGAGGAUGAUCAGGCAAAGCAUUAAGUAACUGGAGAAGCCUCCCCCAAGCUUGUGGGAGACUCUCUUCUUCAAUUUUCACAAAAUUAUAUAUAUCCCUUAAAGCAGCUUGUUUCUUAUGAGCAGGGAAAUAUUUAGCAGAGAAGUAAUAAAUCAUAUCCUGGGGACUACGCACACAACCAGGAUCAAGAGAAUUAAACCAUAUCUUAGCAUCACCCUUUAAUGAGAACAGAAAUAUUUUAAGGAUAUAAAAGCAGCGAGUUCUCUCGUCAUUAGUGAACAGGGUGGCUAUAUCAUUUAAUUUAGUAAGAUGUGCCACAACAGUUUCAGAUUCAUAGCCAUAAAAAGGAUCAGAUUGAACCAAAGUAAUUAUACCAGGAUCAACAGAGAAUUCAUAAUCCUUAUCAGUAACAAAGAAAGGUGAAGUAGCAAAAGCAGGGUCAGGUUUCAUUCUAGCAUUAAGAGAUUGUUGCUUCCAUUUAGCUAAUAGCCUCUUGAGCUCGUAUCUAUCUUUGCAAGCUAAAAUAGCUAAAGAAGCUUCUUUUUCAAAAACACAACCCUCGGGAAUAACAGGUGAUUCAUUUUCAUUAGGGGGAGAGUCUUCAUCAUCACUUUCAUCAAUAUUAUCAGUUUCAAUAAUUUCAUUCUCUCUAACCCUAGCAAGUUGUUCAUCAAGAAAUUCACCAAGUGGCAUAGUAGUAUCAAGCAUAGAAGUAGUUUCAUCAUAAGUAUCACGCAUAGCAGAAGUGGCAUCAUCAAUAACAUGCGACAUAUCAGAACGAAUAGCAAAAGCAGGUUUAGGUGUCGCAAGCUUACUCAAAACAGAAGGUGAAUCAAGUGCAGAGCUAGAUGGCAGUUCCUUACCCCCCAUCGUAGUUGAGGGAUAAAUCUUGGUUUUUGGAUCUCUCAAGUUCUUCAUAAUGAUAAGUAGAUAUAAAUCCCAAGUGACUCAAAGAAUAGAGCUAUGCUCCCCGGCAACGGCGCCAGAAAAUAGUCUUGAUAACCCACAAGUAUAGGGGAUCGCAACAGUUUUCGAGGGUAGAGUAUUCAACCCAAAUUUAUUGAUUCGACACAAGGGGAGCCAAAGAAUAUUCUCAAGUAUUAGCAGCUGAGUUGUCAAUUCAACCACACCUGGAAACUUAAUAUCUGCAGCAAAGUGUUUAGUAGCAAAGUAAUAUGAUAGUAGUGGUAACGGUAGCAAAAGGUAACGGUAGCAAAAGUAAUGUUUUUGAUAUUUUGUAGUGAUGACAGCAAUAGCAACGGAAAAGCAAAUAAGCGUAGAACAAUAUAUCGAAAGCUCGUAGGCAAUGGGUUGGUGAUAGAGAAUUAUGCCGGAUGUGGUUCAUCAUGUAACAGUCAUAACAUAGGGUGACACAGAACUAGCUCCAAUUCAUCAAUGUAAUGUAGGCAUGUAUUCCGAAUAUAGUCAUAUGUGCUUAUGGAAAAGAACUUGCAUAACAUCUUUUGUCCUACCCUCUCGUGGCAGCGGGGUCCUAACGGAAACUAAGGGAUAUUAAGGCCUCCUUUUAAUAGAGUACCGGACCAAAGCAUUAACACAUAGUGAAUACAUGAACUCCUCAAACUAUGGUCAUCAUCGGUAAGUAUCCCGAUUAUUGUCACUUCGGGGUUAACGGAUCAUAACACAUAAUAGGUGACUAUAGACUUGCAAGAUAGGAUCAAGAACUCUCAUAUAUUGAUGAAAACAUAAUAGGUUCAGAUCUGAAAUCAUGGCACUUGGGCCCUAGUGACAAGCAUUAAGCAUAGCAAAGUUAUAGCAACAUCAAUCUCAGAACAUAGUGGAUACUAGGGAUCAAACCCUAACAAAACUAACUCGAUUACAUGAUAAAUCUCAUCCAACCCAUCACUGUCCAGCAAGCCUACGAUGGAAUUACUCACACACGGCGGUGAGCAUCAUGAAAAUUGUAACGCCCGGGUAAUCAAGCUACAGUAAAUCCACGCUAAUGGUGCCAUGUCACCACGGUUAUUGUUGCUAAACUACCGUUAGAUCAAAACACUCUAAAUUCAAAUUUAAAUUUAGCAAAUAGUCAAAGUUUUCAAAACAUUAAAACAAAAAUGUUUGGUGUGUGUCAAAUAUUACUAUGGUAAUUAUAGUGAAGAAAACAUAAUUUUACAAAGUGCCUAAGUGCUUCAAACUAAAUAAAACAGAAAAAGAAAUAAAAGAAAAGAAGUUACAAAACAGAAAAAAAAAGAAACCCCCCUGGGCCGUGGCCCAACAGGGCCAACCCACCAGGCCCAGCCGGCCACCCACUCCCCCUACUCCCCUUAUCCACCCCNNNNNNNNNNNNNNNNNNNNNNNNNNNNNNNNNNNNNNNNNNNNNNNNNNNNNNNNNNNNNNNNNNNNNNNNNNNNNNNNNNNNNNNNNNNNNNNNNNNNNNNNNNNNNNNNNNNNNNNNNNNNNNNNNNNNNNNNNNNNNNNNNNNNNNNNNNNNNNNNNNNNNNNNNNNNNNNNNNNNNNNNNNNNNNNNNNNNNNNNNNNNNNNNNNNNNNNNNNNNNNNNNNNNNNNNNNNNNNNNNNNNNNNNNNNNNNNNNNNNNNNNNNNNNNNNNNNNNNNNNNNNNNNNNNNNNNNNNNNNNNNNNNNNNNNNNNNNNNNNNNNNNNNNNNNNNNNNNNNNNNNNNNNNNNNNNNNNNNNNNNNNNNNNNNNNNNNNNNNNCUCCCUGUCCCGACGCGCUCCAACCCCGCGCACGUCGCACCGUGGCCGCGCUCAGGCGAGCCCACCGGUUGCCUGGCCUCGCCACUGCCGCCUGCGUGCUCCGCACUCCCUGCGCCAUGAUACGUCUCCAACGUAUCUAUAAUUUUUGAUUGCUCCAUGCUAUAUUAUCUAUUGUUUUAGACAUUAUUGGGCUUUAUUAUCCACUUUUAUAUUAUUUUUGGGACUAACCUAUUAACCGAAGGCCCAGCCCAGAAUUGCUGUUUUUUGCCUGUUUUAGGGUUUCGAAGAAAAUGAAUAUCAAACGGAGUCCAAACGGAAUGAAACCUUCGGAAACGUGAUUUUCUCAUUAGAUAAGAUCCAGGAGACUUGGACCCUCCGUCAAGAAAGCCAUGAGGUGGUCACGAGGGUAGGGAGCGCCCCCCCUAGGGCGCGCCCCCUGCCUCGUGGGCCCCUCGAAGCUCCACCGACGUACUUCUUCCUCCUAUAUAUCCACAUACCCCCAAACGAUCGGGGACGGAGCCAAAAACCUAAUUCCACCGCCGCAACUUUCUGUAUCCACGAGAUCCCAUCUUGGGGCCUGUUCCGGAGCUCCGCCGGAGGAGGCCUCAAUCACGGAGGGCUUCUACAUCGUCAUCCAAGCCCCUCCAAUGAAGUGUGAGUAGUUUACUUCAGACCUACGGGUCCAUAGCUAGUAGAUAGAUGGCUUCUUCUCUCUUUUUGGAUCUCAAUACAAUGUUCUUCCCCUCUCUCGUGGAGAUCUAUUCGAUGUAAUCUUAUUUUUGCGGUGUGUUUGUUGAGACCGAUGAAUUGUGGGUUUAUGAUCAAGUCUAUCUAUGAAUAAUAUUUGAAUCUUCUCUGAAUUCUUUUAUGUAUGAUUGGUUAUCUUUGCAAGUCUCUUCGAAUUAUCAGUUUGGUUUGGCCUACUAGAUUGGUUGUUGCCAUGGGAGAAGUGCUUAGCUUUGGGUUCGAUCUUGCGGUGUCCUUUCCCAGUGACAGAAGGGGCAGCAAGGCACGUAUUGUAUCGUUGCCAUCGAGGAUAACAAGAUGGUGUUUUUAUCAUAUGGCAUGAAACUAUCCCUCUACAUCAUGUCAUCUUGCUUAAGGCGUUACUCUGUUUUUAACUUAAUACUCUAGAUGCAUGCUGGAUAGCGGUCGAUGAGUGGAGUAAUGGUAGUAGAUGCAGAAUCGUUUCAGUCUACUUGUCUUGGACGUGAUGCCUAUAUACAUGAUCAUACCUAGAUAUUCUCAUAACUAUGCUAAAUUCUGUCAAUUGCUCAACAGUAAUUUGUUCACCCACCGUAGAAUACUUAUGCUCUUGAGAGAAGCCACUAGUGAAACCUAUGGCCCCCGAGUCUCUUUAUCAUCAUAUCAAUCUCCAUAACUUUAUUAUUGCUUUGCUUUUACUUUAUUUACUUUGCAUCUCUAUACCAAAAAUACCAAAAAAAUAUUAUUUAUCAUCUCUAUCAGAUCUCACUUUCGUAAGUGACCGUGAAGGGAUUGACAACCCCUAAGCGCGUUGGUUGUGUUGAGCUAUUGUUUUUGUGUAGGUACGAGGGACUCGAGCGUAGCCUCCUACUGGAUUGAUACCUUGGCUCUCAAAAACUGAGGGAAAUACUUACGCUACUUUGCUGCAUCAUCCCUUCCUCUUCGGGUAAAUCCAACCAGUGCUCAAGAGGUAGCAAGAAGAAUUUCUGGCGCCGUUGCCGGGGAGUCUGCACAAAAGUCAACAUACCAAGUACCCAUCACAAUCCCUAUCUCCCGCAUUACAUUAUUGUUGGGGAACGUUGCAGAAAAUUAAAAUUUUUCCUACGGUUUCACCAAGAUCCAUCUAUGAGUUCAUCUAAGCAACGAGUCUAGGGAGAGAGUUUGCAUCUACAUACCACUUGUAGAUCGCGUGCGGAAGCUUGCAAGGUGAUGAUGUAGUCGUACUCGACGUGAUCCAAAUCACCGAUGACCUGCGCCGAACGGACGGCACCUCCGCGUUCAACACACGUACGGAACAGCCACGUCUCCUCCUUCUUGAUCCAGCAAGGAAGGGAGGAGAGGUUGAGGGAGAUGGCACCAGCAGCAGCACGACGGCGUGGUGUUGGUGGAGCUGCAGUACUCCGGCAGAGCUUCGCUAAGCACUAUGGAGGUGGAGGAGGUGUUGGGGAGGGAGAAGGAGGCAACCAAAGGCCGAGACGUUCAGGUGUCAAGUCCCUCCUCUCCCCCCACUAUAUAUAGGGGUGCCAAGGGGGGGUGGCUGGCCCUAGGAGAUCAAAUCUCCUAGGGGGUGCGGCGGCCAGGGGGGUUUUCCCUCCCCCCAAGGCACCUAGGAGGUGCCUUACCCUCCUAGGACUCUUGCCCCCCUUGAACCCUAGGCGCAUGGGCCUAUGUGGGGCUGGUGCCCUUGGCCCAUUAGGCCAAGGCGCACCCCACACAGCCCAUGUGGCCCCCCGGGACAGGUGGACCCACCCGGUGGACCCCCGGGACCCUUCCGGUGGUCCCGGUACAAUACCGAUAACCCCGAAACUUGUCCCGAUGCCCGAAACAGGACUUCCCAUAUAUAAAUCUUUACCUCCGGACCAUUCUGGAACUCCUCGUGACGUCCGGGAUCUCAUCCGGGACUCCGAACAACAUUCGGGUUACUGCAUAUACAUAUCCCUAUAACCCUAGCGUAACUGAACCUUAAGUGUGUAGACCCUACGGGUUCGGGAGACAUGCAGACAUGACCGAGACUCUCUCAGUCAAUAACCAUCAGCGGGAUCUGGAUACCCAUGAUGGCUCCCACAUGCUCCUCGAUGUUGUCAUCGGAUGAACCACUAUGUCGAGGAUUCGAUCAAACCCUGUAUGCAAUUCCCUUUGUCAAUCGGUACGUUACUUGCCCGAGACUCGAUCGUCGGUAUCCCAAUACCUUGUUCAGUCUCGUUUCCGGCAAGUCACUUUACUCGUACCAUAAUGCAUGAUCCCAUGUCCAACACCUUGGUCACAUUGAGCUCAAUAUGAUGAUGCAUUACCGAGUGGGCCCAGAGAUACCUCUCCGUCAUACGGAGUGACAAAUCCCAGUCUCGAUCCGUGUCAACCCAACAGCUACUUUCGGAGAUACCUGUAAUGCACCUUUAUAGUCACCCAGUUACGUUGUGACGUUUGGUAUACCCAAGGCACUCUUAUGGUAUCCGGGAGUUACACGAUCUCAUGGUCGAAGGAAGAGAUACUUGACACUUGCAAAGCUCUAGCAAAACGAACUACACGAUCUUUUAUGCUAUGCUUAGGAUUGGGUCUUGUCCAUCACAUCAUUCUCCUAAUGAUGUGAUCCCGUUAUCAAUGACAUCCAAUGUCCAUAGUCAGGAAACCAUGACUAUCUGUUGAUCACAACGAGCUGGUCAACUAGAGGCUUACCAGGGACAUUGUGUGGUCUAAGUAUUCACACGUGUAUUACGAUUUCCGGAUAAUACAGUUAUAGCAUGAAUAAAAGACAAUUAUCAUGAACAAUGAAAUAUAAUAAUACUUUUAUUAUUGCCUCUAGGGCAUAUUUCCAAUAGUCUCCCACUUGCACUAGAGUCACUAAUCUAGUUACAUUGUGAUGAAUCGAACACCCAUAGAGUUCUGGUGUUGAUCAUGUUUUGCACGCGAGAGAGGUUUAGUCAGCGGAUCUGCGACAUUCAGAUCCGUGUGCACUUUGCAAAUCUCUAUGUCUCCAUCUUGAACAUUUUCACGGAUGGAGUUGAAACGACGCUUGAUGUGCCUGGUCUUCUUGUGAAACCUGGGCUCCUUUGCGAGGGCAAUAGCUCCAGUGUUGUCACAGAAGAGUUUGAUCGGCCCCGACACAUUGGAUAUGACUCCUAGGUCGGUGAUGAACUCCUUCACCCAAAUCGCUUCAUGUGCUGCCUCCGAGGCUGCCAUGUACUCCGCUUCACACGUAGAUCCCGCCAUGACGCUCUGCUUGCAGCUGCACCAGCUUACUGCUCCACCAUUCAACAUAUACACGUAUCCGGUUUGUGACUUAGAGUCAUCCAGAUCUGAGUCGAAGCUAGCGUCGACGUAACCCUUUACGACGAGCUCUUCGUCUCCUCCAUAAACGAGAAACAUGUCCUUUGUCCUUUUCAGGUACUUCAGGAUAUUCUUGACCGCUGUCCAGUGUUCCUUGCCGGGAUUACUUUGGUAUCUAGCUACCAAACUUACGGCAAGGUUUACAUCGGGUCUGGUACACAGCAUGGCAUACAUAAUAGAUCCUAUGGCUGAAGCAUAGGGGAUGACACUCAUCUCUUCUUUAUCUUUUGCCGUGGUCGGUGACUGAGCUGAGCUCAGUCUCAUACCUUGUAACAUAGGCAAGAACCCCUUCUUGGACUGAUCCAUUCUGAAUCUCUUCAAAAUCUUAUCAAGGUAUGUGCUUUGUGAAAGACCUAUGAGGCGUCUCGAUCUAUCUCUAUAGAUCUUGAUGCCUAAUAUAUAAGCAGCUUCUCCAAGGUCCUUCAUUGAAAAACACUUAUUCAAGUAGGCCUUAAUGCUGUCCAGAAAUUCUAUAUUAUUUCCCAUCAGGAGUAUGUCAUCUACAUAUAAUAUGAGAAAUGCUACAGAGCUCCCACUCACUUUCUUGUAAAUGCUGGCUUCUCCAUAAGUCUGCAUAAACCCAAACGCUUUGAUCAUCUCAUCAAAGCGAAUGUUCCAACUCCGAGAUGCUUGCACCAGUCCAUAAAUGGAUCGCUGGAGCUUGCAUACUUUGUUAGCGUUCCGAGGAUCGACAAAACCUUCCGGCUGCAUCAUAUACAGUUCUUCCUUAAGAUGCCCGUUAAGGAAUGCUGUUUUGACGUCCAUCUGCCAUGUCUCAUAAUCAUAGUAUGCGGCAAUUGCUAACAUGAUUCGGACGGACUUUAGCUUCGCUACGGGAGAGAAUGUCUCGUCGUAGUCAAUCCCUUGAACCUGUCGAUAACCCUUAGCGACAAGUCGAGCUUUAUAGAUGGUAACAUUACCAUCCGCAUCCGUCUUCUUCUUAAAGAUCCAUUUGUUUUCUAUCGCUCGCCGAUCAUCGGGCAAGUCUGUCAAAGUCCAUACUUUGUUUUCAUACAUGGAUUCUAUCUCGGAUUUCAUGGCUUCAAGCCAUUUGUUGGAAUCCGGGCCCGCCAUUGCUUCUUCAUAGUUCGAAGGUUCAUUGUUGUCUAACAACAUGAUUUCCAGGACAGGGUUGCCGUACCACUCUGGUGCGGAACGUGUCCUUGUGGACCUACGAAGUUCAGCAGUAACUCGAUCCGAAGUCCCUUGAUCAUUAUCAUGGUUUUCCCCUUCAGUUGGUGUGGGCAUCACAGGAACGGUUUCCUGUGCUGCGUCACUAUCCCGCUCAAGAGGUAGUACUUCAUCGAGUUCUACUUUCCUCCCACUUACUUCUUUCGAGAGAAACUCUUUUUUCCAGAAAGCAUCCAUUCUUGGCAACAAAGAUCUUGCCUUCGGAUCUUAAGUAGAAGGUAUACCCUACAGUCUCCUUAGGGUAUCCUAUGAAUACGCAUUUUUACGACUUGGGUUCGAGCUUAUCCCCAAAAUGAUAGCGGUAAAUCGGUAAGAGACAUCAUAGACCGCACCAUAUCCAAUAGAGUGCGAUUACAACGUUCGGACACACCGUUUCGCUGAGGUGUUCCAGGCGGCGUGAGCUGUGAAAUGAUUCCACAUUUCUUUAAGUGUGUACCAAAUUCGUGACUUAAGUAUUCUCCUCCAUGAUCUGAUCGUAAGAAUUUUAUCUUUCGGUCACGUUGAUUCUCCACCUCAUUCUGAAAUUCCUUGAACUUUUCAAAGGUCUCAGACUUGUGUUUCAUUAAGUAGACAUACCCAUAUCUACUCAAGUCAUCUGUGAGAGUGAGAACAUAACGAUAUCCUCCGCGAGCCUCAACACUCAUUGGACCGCACACAUCGGUAUGUAUGAUUUCCAACAAGUUGGUUGCUCGCUCCAUUGUUCCGGAGAACGGAGUCUUGGUCAUUUUGCCCAAGAGGCAUGGUUCGCACGUGUCAAACGAUUCAUAAUCAAGAGACUCUAAAAGUCCAUCGGCAUGGAGCUUCUUCAUGCGCUUGACACCAAUGUGACCAAGGCGGCAGUGCCACAAGUAUGUGGGACUAUCGUUAUCAAUUUUAAAUCUUUUGGCAUCUACACUAUGAACAUGUGUAAUAUUACGCUCGAGAUUCAUUAAGAAUAAACCAUUGACCAUCGGAGCAUGACCAUAAAACAUAUCUCUCAUAUAAAUCGAACAACCAUUAUUCUCAGACUUAAAUGAGUAGCCAUCUCGUAUUAAACGAGAUCCAGAUACAAUGUUCAUGCUCAAACUUGGCACUAAAUAACAAUUAUUAAGGUUCAAAACUAAUCCCGUUGGUAAAUGUAGAGGCAGCGUGCCGACGGCGAUCACAUCGACUCUGGAACCAUUCCCGACGCGCAUCGUCACCUCGUCCUUCGCCAGUCUCCGUUUAUUCCGCAGCUCCUGCUGUGAGUUACAAAUAUGAGCAACGGCACCGGUAUCAAAUACCCAGGAGUUACUACGAGUACUGGUAAGGUACACAUCAAUCACAUGUAUAUCAAAUAUACCUUUGGUGUUGCCGGCCUUCUUAUCCGCUAAGUAUUUGGGGCAGUUCCGCUUCCAGUGACCCUUCCCCUUGCAAUAAAAGCACUCAGUCUCAGGCUUGGGUCCAUUCUUUGACUUCUUCCCGGUAACUGGCUUACCAGGCGCGGCAACUUCUUUGCCGUCCUUCUUGAAGUUCUUCUUACCCUUGCCCUUCUUGAACUUAGUGGUCUUAUUGACCAUCAACACUUGAUGUUCUUUCUUGAUUUCAGCCUCUGCUGACUUCAGCAUCGAGAACACUUCAGGAAUGGUCUUUUCCAUUCCCUGCAUGUUGUAGUUCAUCACAAAGCUCUUGUAGCUUGGUGGGAGCGACUGGAGGAUUCUGUCAAUGACCGCCUCAUCUGGGAGGUUAAUGUUCAGCUGGGUCAUACGGUUGUGCAACCCAGACAUCUUCAGGAUGUGCUCACUGACAGAACUGUUUUCCUCCAUCUUACAACUGUAGAACUUGUCGGAGACAUCAUAUCUCUCGACCCGGGAAUGAGCUUGAAAAACUAGUUUCAGCUCUUCAAACAUCUCAUAUGCUCCGUGAUGCUCAAAACGCUUUUGGAGCCCCGGUUCUAAGCUGUAAAGCAUGCCGCACUGAACGAGGGAGUAAUCAUCAGCGCGAGACUGCCAAGCAUUCAUAAUGUCUUGGUUCUCUGGGACGGGAGCGUCACCUAGCGGUCCUUCUAGGACAUAUUGUUUCCUGGCAGCUAUGAGGAUGAUCCUCAGGUUCCGGACCCAGUCCGUAUAGUUGCUGCCAUCAUCUUUCAGCUUGGUUUUCUCUAGGAACGCGUUGAAGUUCAUGUUGACAUUAGCGUUGGCCAUUGAUCUACAAGACAUAUUUGCAAAGGUUUUAGACUAAGUUCAUGAUAAUAAAGUUCUAAUCAAAUUAUGAACUCCCACUUAGAUUAGACAUCCCUUUAGUCAUCUAAGUGUUACACGAUCCGAGUCGACUAGCCCGUGUCCAAUCAUCACGUGAGACGGACUAGUCAUCGUCGGUGAACAUUUUCAUGUUGAUCGUAUCUUCCAUACGACUCGUGUUCGACCUUUCGGUCUCCGUGUUCCGAGGCCAUGUCUGCACAUGCUAGGCUCGUCAAGUUAACCCUAAGUGUUUUCGCUGUGUAAAACUGUCUUACACCCGUUGUAUGUGAACGUAAGAAUCCAUCACACCCGAUCAUCACGUGGUGCUUAGAAACGACGAACUGUAGCAACGGUGCACAGUUAGGGGAGAACACUUCUUGAAAUUUUAUAAGGGAUCAUCUUAUUUACUACCGUCGUCCUAAGUAAACAAGAUGCAUAAUACAUAAUAAACAUCACAUGCAAUUAUAUAGUUGUGACAUGAUAUGGCCAAUAUCAUAUAGCUCCAUUGAUCUUCAUCUUCGGGGCUCCAUGAUCAUCUUGUCACCGGCUUGACACCAUGAUCUCCAUCAUCAUGAUCUCCAUCAUCGUGUCUUCAUGAAGUUGUCACUCCAACGACUACUUUCUACUUCUAUGACUAACAUUUAGCAAUAAAGUAAAGUAGUUUACAUGACGUUAUUCAAUGACACGCAGGUCAUACAAAAAUAAUGACAACUCCUAUGGCUCCUGCCGGUUGUCAUACUCAUCGACAUGCAAGUCGUGAAUCCUAUUACAAAGAACAUGAUCUCAUACAUCACAAUUCAUCAUUCAUCACAACUUCUGGCCAUAUCACAUCACUUGAUCAAUCGCUGCAAAAACAAGUUAGACGUCCUCUAAUUGUUGUUGCAUCUUUUACGUGGCUGCAAUUGGGUUCUAGCAAGAACGUUUUCUUACCUACGAAUCACCACAACGUGAUUUUGUCAACUUCUAUUUACCCUUCAUAAGGGCCCUGUUCAUCGAUUCCGCUCCAACUAAGGUGGGAGAGACAGACACCCGCCAGCCACCUUAUGCAACUAGUGCAUGUCAAUCGGUGGAACCGGUCUCACGUAAGCGUACGUGUAAGGUUGGUCCGGGCCGCUUCAUCCCACAAUACCGUUGAGCAAGAAAAGACUAGUAGAGGCAAGUAAGAUGACAAAAUCCACGCCUACAACAAAGUUGUGUUCUACUCGUGCAAAGAGAACUACGCAUAGACCUAGCUCAUGAUGCCACUGUUGGGGAACUUUGCAGAAAAUUAAAAUUUUUCCUACGGUUUCACCAAGAUCCAUCUAUGAGUUCAUCUAAGCAACGAGUCUAGGGAGAGAGUUUGCAUCUACAUACCACUUGUAGAUCGCGUGCGGAAGCUUGCAAGGUGAUGAUGUAGUCGUACUCGACGUGAUCCAAAUCACCGAUGACCUGCGCCGAACGGACGGCACCUCCGCGUUCAACACACGUACGGAACAGCCACGUCUCCUCCUUCUUGAUCCAGCAAGGAAGGGAGGAGAGGUUGAGGGAGAUGGCACCAGCAGCAGCACGACGGCGUGGUGUUGGUGGAGCUGCAGUACUCCGGCAGAGCUUCGCUAAGCACUAUGGAGGUGGAGGAGGUGUUGGGGAGGGAGAAGGAGGCAACCAAAGGCCGAGACGUUCAGGUGUCAAGUCCCUCCUCUCCCCCCACUAUAUAUAGGGGUGCCAAGGGGGGGUGGCCGGCCCUAGGAGAUCAAAUCUCCUAGGGGGUGCGGCGGCCAGGGGGGUUUUCCCUCCCCCCAAGGCACCUAGGAGGUGCCUUACCCUCCUAGGACUCUUGCCCCCCUUGAACCCUAGGCGCAUGGGCCUAUGUGGGGCUGGUGCCCUUGGCCCAUUAGGCCAAGGCGCACCCCACACAGCCCAUGUGGCCCCCCGGGACAGGUGGACCCACCCGGUGGACCCCCGGGACCCUUCCGGUGGUCCCGGUACAAUACCGAUAACCCCGAAACUUGUCCCGAUGCCCGAAACAGGACUUCCCAUAUAUAAAUCUUUACCUCCGGACCAUUCCGGAACUCCUCGUGACGUCCGGGAUCUCAUCCGGGACUCCGAACAACAUUCGGGUUACUGCAUAUACAUAUCCCUAUAACCCUAGCGUAACUGAACCUUAAGUGUGUAGACCCUACGGGUUCGGGAGACAUGCAGACAUGACCGAGACUCUCUCAGUCAAUAACCAUCAGCGGGAUCUGGAUACCCAUGAUGGCUCCCACAUGCUCCUCGAUGUUGUCAUCGGAUGAACCACUAUGUCGAGGAUUCGAUCAAACCCUGUAUGCAAUUCCCUUUGUCAAUCGGUACGUUACUUGCCCGAGACUCGAUCGUCGGUAUCCCAAUACCUUGUUCAGUCUCGUUUCCGGCAAGUCACUUUACUCAUACCGUAAUGCAUGAUCCCGUGUCCAACACCUUGGUCACAUUGAGCUCAAUAUGAUGAUGCAUUACCGAGUGGGCCCAGAGAUACCUCUCCGUCAUACGGAGUGACAAAUCCCAGUCUCGAUCCGUGUCAACCCAACAGCUACUUUCGGAGAUACCUGUAAUGCACCUUUAUAGUCACCCAGUUACGUUGUGACGUUUGGUAUACCCAAGGCACUCUUAUGGUAUCCGGGAGUUACACAAUCUCAUGGUCGAAGGAAGAGAUACUUGACACUUGCAAAGCUCUAGCAAAACGAACUACACGAUCUUUUAUGCUAUGCUUAGGAUUGGGUCUUGUCCAUCACAUCAUUCUCCUAAUGAUGUGAUCCCGUUAUCAAUGACAUCCAAUGUCCAUAGUCAGGAAACCAUGACUAUCUGUUGAUCACAACGAGCUGGUCAACUAGAGGCUUACCAGGGACAUUGUGUGGUCUAAGUAUUCACACGUGUAUUACGAUUUCCGGAUAAUACAGUUAUAGCAUGAAUAAAAGACAAUUAUCAUGAACAAUGAAAUAUAAUAAUACUUUUAUUAUUGCCUCUAGGGCAUAUUUCCAACAAUUAUUUGCCAUUUGCCUCUCGUUUUCCUCUCCCCCACUUCACCCUUGCCAUUUUAUUCACCCUCUCUCUCUAUCCUCCCUCUCUAUUUGCCUCUUUUGCCGUUUGCUUUUUGUUUGCUUGUGUGUUGGAUUGCUUGUUUGUCGCGAUGGCUCAAGAUAAUACUAAAUUGUGUGACUUCACCAAUACCAACAAUAAUGAUUUCCUUAGCACUCCAAUUGCUCUUCUUAUCGAUGCUGAAUCUUGUGAAAUUAAUACUGCUUUGUUGAAUCUUGUCAUGAAAGAUCCGUUCUCUGGCCUUCCUAGUGAAGAUGCCGUUACACAUCUUAAUAGCUUCGUUGAUUUGUGUGACAUGCAAAAGAAAAAAGAUGUCGAUAAUGAUAUGUUUAAAUUGAAGCUAUUUCUUUUUUGCUUAGAGAUCAUGCUAAAGCUUGGUUUUCGUCUUUGCCUAAAAAUAGUAUUGAUUCAUGGAACAACUGCAAAGAUGCUUUUAUCUCUAAGUAUUUUCCUCCCGCUAAGAUCAUCUCUCUUAGAAACGAUAUUAUGAAUUUUAAACUACUUGAUCAUGAACAUGUUGCACAAGCUUGGGAGAGAAUGAAAUUAAUGAUAUGUAAUUGCCCUACUCAUGGUUUGAAUUUGUGGAUGAUUAUACAAAAAUUUUAUGCCGGAUUGAAUUUUGCUUCUAGAAAUCUUUUAGAUUCGGCCGCGGGAGGCACUUUUAUGGAAAUCACUUUAGGAGAAGCUACUAAACUCCUAGAUAAUAUUAUGGUUAAUUAUUCUUAAUGGCAUACUGAAAGAUCUACUAAAAAGGUGCAUGCGAUAGAAGAAAUUAAUGUUUUGAGUGGAAAGAUGGAUGAACUUAUGAAAUUAUUUGCUAAUAAGAGUGUUUCUUCUGAUCCUAAUGAUGUGCCCUUGUCUACUUUGAUUGAGAAUAAUAAUGAAUCUAUGGAUGUGAAUUUUGUUGGUAGGAACAAUUUUGGUAACAACGCGUAUAGAGGAAAUUUCAAUCCUAGGCCUUAUCCUAGUAAUCCUCUAAUAAUUAUGGUAAUUCCUACAACAGUUCUUAUGGAAAUUAUAAUAAGAUGCCCUCUGAUUUUAAAUCUAAUAUUAAAGAAUUUAUUUCUUCACAAAAGAAUUUUAAUGUUAUGAUUGAAGAAAAAUUGCUUAAGAUUGAUGAUUUGGCUAGGAACGUUGAUAGAAUUGCUCUUGAUGUUGAUUCUUUGAAACUUAGAUCUAUUCCACCUAAGCAUGAUAUCAAUGAGUCUCUCAAAGCCAUGAGAAUUUCCAUUGACGAGUGCAAAGAAAGAACCGCUAGGAUGCGUGCUAAGAAAGAUGCCUUUAUAAAAGCGUGUUCUUCUAGUUCCUAUGAAAAUAAUGAUGAAGAUCUAAAAGUUAUUGAUGUGUCCCGUAUUAAAUCUUUGUUUUGCAAUAUGAAUCUUUAUAAUGAUGGGACUGAAUAUGAUCCACCUUUACCUAGAAGGCGUUCUAAGAAUUCGGAAUUUGUUGAUCUUGAUGCUAAAUUUGAUAAAAGUGGGAUUGAAGAAAUUAAAACCCUAGAUGUUGCUAAACCCACUAUUAUGUAUUUCAAGGAAUUUAACUAUGAAAAUUGCUCUUUGAUUGAUUGUAUUUCCUUGUUGCAAUCCGUGCUAAAAUCUCCUCACGCUUAUAGUCAAAAUAAAGCGUUUACUAAACAUAUCGUUGAUGCCUUGAUGCAAUCUUAUGAAGAAAAACUUGAAUUGGAAGUUUCUAUCCCUAGAAAACUUUAUGAUGAGUGCGAACCAACUAUUAAAAUUAAAAUUAAAAAUUAUUAGUUUUAUGCGUUGUGUGAUUUGGGUGCUAGUGUCUCUACUAUUCCCAAAACUUUGUGUGAUUUACUAGAUUUCCGUGAUUUUGAUGAUUGCUCUCUAAACUUGCAUCUUGCGGAUUCCACUAUUAAGAAACCUAUGGGAAGAAUUAAUGAUGUUCUUAUUGUUUCUAAUAGGAAUUAUGUGCCCGUAGAUUUUAUCGUUCUUGAUAUAAAUUGCAAUCCUUCUUGCCCUAUUAUUCUCGGUAGAACUUUCCUUAGAACGGUUGGUGCAAUUAUUGAUAUGAAGGAAGGGAAUAUUAGAUUUCAGUUUCCAUUAAAAAAGGGCAUGGAACACUUCCCUAGAAAGAAAAUAAAAUUACCAUAUGAAUCUAUCAUGAGAGCCACUUAUGGAUUGCCUACCAAAGAUGGCAAUACCUAGAUCUAUUCUUGCUUGUUAUGCCUAGCUAGGGGCGUUAAACGAUAGCGCUUGUUGGGAGGCAACCCAAUUUUAUUUCUAUUCCUUGAUUUUUGCUUAUGUGUAGUAAUAAAUAAAUUAUCUAGCCUCUGUUUUGGUUGUGUUUUUCUGUGUUUAAUUAGUGUUUGUGCCAAGUAGAACCGUUGGGAAGACUUGGGGAAAGUCUUGUUGAACUUGCUGUAAAAAACAGAAACUUUAGCGCUCACGAGAACUGCUGUCAAUUUUAUUUGGAAAGUGAUAUUUAGUUAAUUCUUUUUGAAGAUGAUUAAUAGAUAAAUCCCUCACGUCCAGCAAUUUAUUUUUGAAUUUUUGGGGUUCCAAAUCUUGCGCUAGCUACAGAUUACUACAGACUGUUCUGUUUUUGACAGAUUCUGUUUUUCGUGUGUUGUUUGCUUAUUUUGAUGAAUCUAUGGCUAGUAAAAUAGUUUAUAAUCCAUAGAGAUGUUGGAAUACAGUAGGUAUAACACCCAUAUAAAUAAGGAAUUAGUUCAUUACAGUACCUUGAAGUGGUCUUUUGUUUUCUUUUGCUAACGGAGCUCACGAGUUUUCUACUUUAAGUUUUGUGUUGUGAAGUUUUCAAGUUUUGGGUAAAGAUUUGAUGGAUUAUGGAACAAGGAGUGGAAAGAGCCUAACCUUGGGGAUGCCCCUGGAACCCCCAAGAUAAUCUAAGGACACCUAAAAGCCAAAGCUUGGGGAUGCCCCGGAAGGAAUCCCCUCUUUCGUAUACUUCUAUCGGUAACUUUACUUGGAGCUAUAUUUUUAUUCACCACAUGAUAUGUGUUUUGCUUGGAGCGUAUUUUAUGAUUUGAGUCUUUGCUUAUUAGUUUACCACAAUCAUCCUUUCUGUACACACCUUUUGAGAGAGCCAUACAUGAUUCGGAAUUUGAUAGAAUACUUUAUGUACUUCACUUAUAUCUUUUGAGCUUUAUAGUUUUGCUCUAGUGCUUCACUUAUAUCUUUUAGAGCACGGUGGUGGAUUUGUUUUAUAGAAACUAUUGAUCUCUCAUGAUUCACUUAGAUUAUUUUGAGAGUCUUAAUAUCAUGGUAAUUUGCUUAAAAUCCUAAUAUGCUUGGUAUGCAAGAUUAAUAAUAAAACUUUCAUAUGAGUGUGUUGAAUACUAAGAAGAAAUUGAUGCUUGAUAAUUGUUUUGAGAUAUGAGGAUGGUGAUAUUAGAUUCAUGCUAGUUGAGUAGUUGUGAAUUUGAGAAAUGCUUGUGUUAAAGUUUGUGAUUCCCGUAGCAUGCACGUAUGGUGAACUGUUACGUGAUGAAGUCGGAGCAUGAUUUAUUUAUUGAUUGUCUUCCUUAUGGGUGGCGGUCGGGGACGAGCGAUGGUCUUUUCCUACCAAUCUAUCCCCCUACGAGCAUGCGCGUAAUACUUUGCUUUGAUAACUUCUAGAUUUUUGCAAUAAGUAUAUGAGUUCUUUACGACUAAUGUUGAGUCCAUGGAUUAUACGCACUUUCCUUCCUUCCACCAUUGCUAGCCUCUCUAAUACCGCACACUUUUCGCCGGUAUCAUACACCCACCAAAUACCUUCCUCAAAAUAGCCACCAUACCUACCUAUCAUGGCAUUUCCAUAGCCAUUCCGAGAUAUAUUGCCAUGCAACUUUCCAUCGUUCCUUUCAUUAUGACACGCUCCAUCAUUGUCAUAUUGCUAUGCAUGAUCAUGUAGUUGACAUUGUAUUUAUGGCAAAGCCACCAUUCAUAAUUCUUUCAUACAUGUCACUCAUGAGUCAUUGCACAUCCCGGUACACCGCCCGAGGCAUUCAUAUAGAGUCAUAUUUUGUUCUAAGAAUCGAGUUGUAAUUCAUGAGUUGUAAGUAAAUAAAAGUGUGAUGAUCAUCAUUAUUAGAGCAUUGUCCCCAUGAGGAAAGGAUGAUGGAGACUAUGAUUCGCCCACAAGUCGGGAUGAGACUUCGGACGAAAAUAAAAUAAAAAAAGAGGCCAUAAAAAAGAGAAAGGCCCAAAUAAAAAAAUAUGAGAGAAAAAGAGAGAAGGGACAAUGUUACUAUCCUUUUACCACACUUGUGCUUCAAAGUAGCACCAUGAUCUUCAUGAUAGAGAGUCUCUCAUUAUGUCAAUUUCAUAUACUAGUGGGAAUUUUUCAUUAUAGAACUUGGCUUGUAUAUUCCAAUGAUGGGCUUCCUCAAAAUGCCGUAGGUCUUCGUGAGCAAGCGAGUUGGAUGCACACCCACUUAGUUUCUUUUGAGCUUUCAUAUACUUAUAGAUCUAGUGCAUCCGUUGCAUGGCAAUCCCUACUCACUCACAUUGAUAUCUAUUGAUGGGCAUCUCCAUAGCCCAUUAAUACGCCUAGUUGAUGUGAGACUAUCUUCUCCCUUUUUGUCUUCUCCAUAACCACCAUUCUAUUCCACCUAUAGUGCUAUAUCCAUGGCUCAUGCUCAUGUAUUGCGUGAAGAUCGAAAAAGUUUUGAAAAUGUCAAAAGUAUGAAACAAUUGCUUGGCUUGUCAUCGGGGUUGUGCAUGAUUUAAAUACUUUGUGUGAUGAAGAUAGAGCAUAGCUAGACUAUAUGAUUUUGUAGGGAUAGCUUUCUUUGGCCAUGAUAUUUUGAGAAGACAUAAUUGCUUUGUUAGUAUGCUUGAAGUAUUAUUAUUUUUAUAUCAAUAUGAACUUUUGUCUUGAAUCUUUCGAAUCUGAAUAUUCAUACCACAAUUAAGAAGAUUUACAUUGAAAUUAUGCCAAGUAGCACUCCGCAUCAAAUAUUCUGUUUUUUUCAUUUACCUACUCGAGGACGAGCAGGAAUUAAGCUUGGGGAUGCUUGAUACGUCUCCAGCGUAUCUAUAAUUUUUGAUUGCUCCAUGCUAUAUUAUCUUCUGUUUUAGACAUUAUUGAGCUUUAUUAUCCACUUUUUUAUUAUUUUUGGGACUAACCUAUUAACCAGAGGCCCAGCCUAGAAUUGCUGUUUUUUUGCCUGUUUUAGGGUUUCGAAGAAAAGGAAUAUCAAACGGAGUCCAAACGGAAUGAAACCUUCGGAAACGUGAUUUUCUCAUCAGAUAAGAUCCACGAGACUUGGACCCUCCGUCAAGAAAGCCACGAGGUGGUCACGAGGGUAGGGGGCGCCCCCUAGGGCGCGCCCUCCCCUGCCUCGUGGGCCACUCAAAGCUCCACCGACGUACUUCUUCCUCCUAUAUAUAUCCACGUACCCCCAAACGAUCGGGGACAGAGCCAAAAACCUAAUUCCACUGCCGCAACUUUCUGUAUCCAUGAGAUCCCAUCUUGGGGCCUGUUCCGGAGCUCCGCCGGAGGAGGCAUCGAUCACGGAGGGCUUCUACAUCAUCAUCCAAGCCCCUCCGAUGAAGUGUGAGUAGUUUACUUCAGACCUACGGGUCCAUAGCUAGUAGCUAGAUGGCUUCUUCUCUCUUUUUGGAUCUCAAUACAGUGUUCUCCCCCUCUCUCGUGGAGAUCUAUUCGAUGUAAUCUUCUUUUUGCGGUGUGUUUGUUGAGACCGAUGAAUUGUGGGUUUAUGAUCAAGUCCAUCUAUGAAUAAUAUUUGAAUCUUCUCUGAAUUCUUUUAUGUAUGAUUGGUUAUCUUUGCAAGUCUCUUCGAAUUAUCAGUUUGGUUUGGCCUACUAGAUUGGUUGUUCUUUCCAUGGAGAAGUGCUUAGCUUUGGGUUCAAUCUUGCGGUGUCCUUUCCCAGUGACAGAAGGGGCAGCAAGGCACGUAUUGUAUCGUUGCCAUCGAGGAUAACAAGAUGGGUUUUUUAUCAUAUUGCAUGAAACUAUCCCUCUACAUCAUGCCAUCUUGCUUAAGGCGUUACUCUGUUUUUAACUUAAUACUCUAGAUGCAUGCUGGAUAGCGGUCGAUGAGUGGAGUAAUAGUAGUAGAUGCAGAAUCGUUUCGGUCUACUUGUCUCGGACGUGAUGCCUAUAUACAUGAUCAUACCUAGAUAUUCUCAUAACUAUGCUAAAUUCUGUCAAUUGCUCAACAAUAAUUUGUUCACCCACCGUAGAAUACUUAUGCUCUUGAGAGAAGCCACUAGUGAAACCUAUGGCCCCCGGGUCUCUUUCUCAUCAUAUCAAUCUCCAUCACUUUAUUAUUGCUUUGCUUUUACUUUGCUUUUACUUUAUUUACUUUGUAUCUCUAUACCAAAAAUACCAAAAAAAUAUUAUUUAUCAUCUCUAUCAGAUCUCACUUUCGUAAGUGACCGUGAAGGGAUUGACAACCCCUAAGCGCAUUGGUUGCGUUGAGCUAUGGUUUUUGUGUAGGUACAAGGGACUCGAGCGUAGCCUCCUACUGGAUUGAUACCUUGGUUCUCAAAAACUGAGGGAAAUACUUACGCUACUUUGCUGCAUCAUCCCUUCCUCUUCGGGGAAAUCCAACGCAGUGCUCAAGAGGUAGCACGCCGCUCGUCGCCGGCCCCGCGCUGCUCACCACCACAGUCGUCGGCAGCCCCUUCCCGCGUUGCGCCCCGCCUCGAGCCGCACCUUGGUCGCCCCGCUUCGUCGUUGCCGCAUAGCCCCGCGACCCUCUCUGCUCUCCCCGUUCGCCGGUCGCGCUGCUCGGCUGCGCCCGUUGCCACUGCUCAUCGGCGCCGCCAUGUUUCCCNNNNNNNNNNNNNNNNNNNNNNNNNNNNNNNNNNNNNNNNNNNNNNNNNNNNNNNNNNNNNNNNNNNNNNNNNNNNNNNNNNNNNNNNNNNNNNNNNNNNNNNNNNNNNNNNNNNNNNNNNNNNNNNNNNNNNNNNNNNNNNNNNNNNNNNNNNNNNNNNNNNNNNNNNNNNNNNNNNNNNNNNNNNNNNNNNNNNNNNNNNNNNNNNNNNNNNNNNNNNNNNNNNNNNNNNNNNNNNNNNCUUGCCACCCCGCUCCGGCCGUUGUGGCCCGGGUCUCCCCUGACCAGCGUCGUGGUCGCCGGCGCCCUGCUGCGCUGGGUCGUGGCCUCCGCCCAUUAACAGGCGCCCAUGCACCCGUAGCGCCCGUGCCCGCUAGCCCCUCUGGGCCAAUGACAGGUGGGCCUAGCCCAGAACAUUUUAAAAAAAUAAUAAAAAUAAAUUUAAUUAAUCAAUUAAUUAAAUUAAUUAAGUUAAUUGAGUUAAUUAAUCUAACUAACCUGUUAGUUUAAUUAAACCAUAAUUAGUUUAACCUAAACCCUAAUUAACCUAACAGUGUAUGAUAGGUGGGUCCCACGGGACCCACAUGUUAGUUUGACCCAGUCAACACCUGUUGACUGUUGACUGCUGAUGUCAGCAUGGCAUCAUGCUGAUGUCAUAAAUCCAAUUUCGAAUUAAAUUAAAUAAUUAAUUAAAUUCCAGAAAUUAAUACAAUCUUUAGAAAAUCAUAUCUUUUAAUCCGUAACUCGGAUUAAAUUAGUUUCAACAUGAAAGCUGCCCAGAUCGACGAGACGAAUCCGGAUACGCAACCCGUUCGUCCGCCACACACCCCUAACAUAUCGAACUCGCAACUUUCCCCCUCCGGUCCAUCAGUUCGAAAACGCAAAACACCAGGGAUACUUUCCCGGAUGUUUCCCCCCUUCGUCGGUAUCACCUACUACUGCGAUUGGGCACACCUUGUUGGGGAACGUAGUAAUUUCAAAAAAUUUCCUACGCACACGCAAGGUCAUGGUGAUGCAUAGCAACGAGAGGGGAGAGUGUUGUCUAUGUACCCUCGUAGACCAUUCGCGGAAGCGUUAUAUCAACGCGGUUGAUGUAGUCGUACGUCUUCACGUCCGACCGAUCCAAGUACCGAAAGCACGGCACCUCCGAGUUCUGCACACGUUCGGCUCGGUGACAUCCUCACCUUCUCGAUCCAGCAAGAGGGGCGAAGUAGUAGAUGACUUCCGGCAGCACGACGGCGUGGUGAAGGUGUUGUUGAAGAACAAUCUCCGCAGGGCUUCGCCUAAGCACUACGAAAACUAUGACGGAGGAUAAACUAGAGGGGACGGGGUUGCCGGCACACGGCUUGGUGUUUCUUGAUGUGUCUUGGGUGCUAGCCCUACCCCUCUAUUUAUAUGUUGGGCCUUGGGGUCGAAACUUGGAGUAAAAGCCUCCAUAAAGUCGGUUUCACCCGAAAGGCAAGAGUCCUUCUCGGACUCCAGGGCCAGACGCCAGGGACCCUGGCGUCUGGCCCCUGGAGUCUGCAAAACUUCCUUUUGCACUUCCCAAAAACCUUGUGGGCUUUUCCCUUUGGCCCAAAUAAAGUGUUCUCGUACCCAAACAUUUCGAGAAACAUCCGGAACCCCUUCCGGUGAUUUCCGGAACCCUUCGGGUGACCAAACACUAUUAUCCCAUAUAUCAAACUUUAUCUCCGGACCAGUCUGGAGUUCCUCGUCAUGUCCGUGAUCUCAUCCCGGACUCCGAACAACAUUCAGUCAUCAACAUACAUAACUCAUAUAGUACUAUAUCGUCAACGAACGUUAAGCGUGCGGACCCUACGGGUUCGAGAACUAUGUAGACAUGAUCGAGACACCUCUCUGGUCAAUAACCAUUAGCGGGACCUGGAUGCCCAUAUUGGCUCCUACAUAUUCUACGAAGAUCUUUAUCGGUCAGACCGCAUAACAACAUACGUUGUUCCCUUUGUCAUCGGUAUGUUACUUGCCCGAGAUUCGAUCGUCGGUAUCUCAAUACCUAGUUCAAUCUCGUUUCUGGCAAGUCUCUUUACUCGCUCCGUAACACAUUAUCCCGCAACUAACUCAUUAGUUGCAAUGCUUGCAAGGCUUAUAGUGAUGUGCAUUACCGAGUGGGCCCAGAGAUACCUCUCCGACAAUCGGAGUGACAAAUCCUAAUCUCGAAAUACGCCAACCCAACAAGUACCUUUGGAGACACCUGUAGAGCACCUUUAUAAUCACCCAGUUACGUUGUGAUGUUUGGUGGCACACACAGUGUUCCUCCGGUAAACGGGAGUUGCAUAAUCUCAUAGUCAUAGGAACAUGUAUAAGUCAUGAAGAAAGCAAUAGCAACAAACUAAACGAUCAAGUGCUAAGCUAACGGAAUGGGUCAAGUCAAUCACAUCAUUCUCCCAAUGAUGUGAUCCCAUUAAUCAAAUGACAACUCAUGUCUAUGGUUAGUAAACUUAACCAUAUUUGAUCAAUGAGCUACUCAAGUAGAGGCACACUAGUGACACUCUGUUUGUCUAUGUAUUCACACAUGUAUUAUGUUUCCGGUUAAUACAAUUCUAGCAUGAAUAAUAAACAUUUAUCAUGAAAUAAGGAAAUAAAUAAUAACUUCAUUAUUGCCUCUAGGGCAUAUUUCCUUCACACCUAGCAUCACGCUUUGUCAUGUCAUGCAUCGUCAUGCAUUUGUUUGCAUUGUAUUUAUUGUUUCUUCCCCCUCUUCUCUCGCUAGACACCGAGACCGACGCCGCUGCUACCUAGUAUGACUACGCUGUUGACGACCCCUCUCUCUUAGCAGAGCAACCAGGCAAGCCCCCCCCCCCUUGAUCACCAGAUGUCGCCUACUCUUCUCUAUACUGCUUGCAUUAGAGUAGUGUAGCAUGUUACUGCUUUCCGUUAAUCCUAUCCUGAUGCAUAGCCUGUCAUUGUUGCUACAACUAUUGAUACCUUACCUGUAAUCCUAAAUGCUUACUAUAGGAUGCUAGAUUAUCAUCAGUGGCCCUACAUUCUUGUCUGUCUGCCAUGCUAUACUAUCGGGACGUGAUCACUUGGGAGGUGGUCACGGGUAUAUACUUAUACAUAAUAUAUGAUACUUGUGGUGACAAAAGACGGGUCGGCUCGAGGAGUACCCGCGGUUGAUUCACGAAUUUGAAGGAAAUAUGCCCUAGAGGCAAUUAUAAAGUUAUUAUUUAUUUUCUUAUAUCAUGAUAAAUGUUUAUUAUUCAUGCUAGAAUUGUAUUAACCGGAAACAUAAUACAUGUGUGAAUACAUAGACAAACAGAGUGUCACUAGUAUGCCUCUACUUGACUAGCUCGUUGAUCAAAGAUGGUUAUGUUUCCUAACCAUAGACAUGAGUUGUCAUUUGAUUAAUGAGAUCACAUCAUUAGGAGAAUGAUGUGAUUGACUUGACCCAUUCAGUUAGCAUGGCACUUGAUCGUUUAGUUUAUUGCUAUUGCUUUCUUCAUGACUUAUACAUGUUCCUAUGACUAUGAGAUUAUGUAACUCCCGUUUACCGGAGGAACACUUUGUGUGCUACCAAAUAUCACAACGUAACUGGGUGAUUAUAAAGGUGCUCUACAGGUGUCUCCGAAGGUACUUGUUGGGUUGGCAUAUUUCGAGAUUAGGAUUUGUCACUCCGAUUGUCGGAGAGGAAUCUCUAGGCCCUCUCGGUAAUGCACAUCACUUAAGCCUUGCCAGCAUUGCAACUAAUGAGUUAGUUGCGGGAUGAUAUAUUACGGAACGAGUAAAGAGACUUGCCGGUAACGAGAUUGAACUAGGUAUUGAGAUACCGACGAUCGAAUCUCGGGCAAGUAACAUACCGAUGACAAAGGGAACAACGUAUGUUGUUAUGCGGUCUGACCGAUAAAGAUCUUCGUAGAAUAUGUGGGGGCCAAUAUGAGCAUCCAGGUUCCGCUAUUGGUUAUUGACCGGAGACAUGUCUCGGUCAUGUCUACAUUGUUCUCGAACCCGUAGGGUUCGCACGCUUAAGCUUUCGAUGACAGUUAUAUUAUGAGUUUAUGAGUUUUGAUGUACCGAAGGAGUUCAGAGUCCCAGAUGAGAUCGUGGAUAUGACGAGGAGUCUCGAAAUGGUCGAGACGUAAAGAUCGAUAUAUUGGACGACUAUAUUCGGACAUCGGAAAGGUUCCGAGUGAUUCGGGUAUUUUUCGGAGUAUCGGAGAGUUACGGGAAUUCGCCGGGGAGUAUAUGUGCCUUAUUGGGCCAUACGGGAAUAGAGGAGAGAGGCCAAAAGGAAGGAGGCGCCCCCCCCCCCCUCUGGUCCGAAUUGGACAAAGGGUGCAGCCCACUUUUCCUUGUUCCUCUCCCCCUCUUUCCUUCUCUCCUACUCCAACAAGGGAAGGAGGAGUCCUACUCCCGGUGGGAGUAGGACUCCCCCCUUGGCGCGCCCUCCUCCUAGGCCGGCCACCUCCCCCCUUGCUCCUUUAUAUACGGGGCAAAGGGGCACCCCAUAGACACAACAAUUGAUCAUUGAUCUCUUAGCUGUGUGCGGUGCCCCCCUCCACCAUAAUCCUCGAUAAUAUUGUAACAGUGCUUAGGCGAAGCCCUGCGACGGUAGAACAUCAAGAUCGUCACCACGCCGUCGUGCUAACGAAACUCUUCCCCGACAUUCUGCUGGAUCGGGGUCCGGGGAUCAUCAUCGAGUUGAACGUGUGCUAGAACUCGGAGGUGCCAUAGUUUCGGUGCUUGAUCGGUCGGGCCGUGAAGACGUACGACUACAUCAACCACGUUGUCAUAACACUUCCGCUUUUGGUCUACGAGGAUACGUGGACAACACUCUCCCCUCUCAUUUCUAUGCAUCACCAUGAUCUUGCGUGUGCGUAGGAUUUUUUUUGAAAUUGCUACGUUCCCCACCAGUGGCAUCCGUGCCAGGUUUUAUGCGUUGAUGUUAUAUGCACGAGUAGAACACAAGUGAGUUGUGGGCGAUAUAAGUCAUACUGCUUACUAGCAUGUCACACUUUGGUUCGGCGGUAUUGUUGGAUGAAGCGGCCCGGACCGACAUUACGCAUACGCUUACGCGAGACUGGUUCUACCGACGUGCUUUGCACACAGGUGGUUGGCGGGUGUCGGUUUCUCCAACUUUAGUUGAACCGAGUGUGGCUACGCCCGGUCCUUGCGAAGGUUAAAACAGCACCAACUUGACAAACUAUCGUUGUGGUUUUGAUGCGUAGGUAAGAACGGUUCUUGCUAAGCCCGUAGCAGCCAAGUAAAACUUGCAACAACAAAGUAGAGGACGUCUAACUUGUUUUUGCAGGGCAUGUUGUGAUGUGAUAUGGUCAAGACGUGAUGAGAUAUAAGUUGUUGUAUAAGAUGAUCAUGUUUUGUUGAAGUUAUCGGCAACUGGCAGAAGCCUUAUGGUUGUCUCUUUAUUGCAUAAGAUGCAAGCGCCAAAUAAUUGCUUUAUCGCUAUGCGAUAGCAAUAAUUGCAAGAGCAAUAGUUGGCGAUACGACCAUGUGACGACACAUUGAUAUAGAUCAAGAUGAUGGAGAUCAUGAUGUCAUGCCGGUGAUGAUGGAAAUCAUGACGAUGUUUUGGAGAUGGAGAUCAAAGGCACAAGAUGAUGAUGGCCAUAUCAUGUCACAUAUUUUCAUUGCAUGUGAUGUUUAUCUUUUAUGCAUCUUAUCUUGCUUUAAUUGACGGUAGCAUUAUAAGAUGAUCUCUCACUAAAUUUCAAGAUAAAAGUGUUCUCUCUGAGUAUGCACCGUUGCCAAAGUUCGUCGUGCCCAGACACCACGGGAUGAUCGGGUGUGAUAAGCUCUACGUCCAUCUAGAACGGGUGCAAGCCAGUUUUGCACACGCAGAAUACUCAGUUAAACUUGACGAGCCUAGCAUAUGCAGAUAUGGCCUCGGAACACUGAGACUGAAAGGUCGAGCGUGAAUCAUAUAGUAGAUAUGAUCAACAUAGUGAUGUUCACCAUUGAAAACUACUCCAUUUCACGUGAUGAUCAGUUAUGGUUUAGUUGAUUUGGAUCACGUGAUCACUUAGAUGAUUAGAGGGAUGUCUAUCUAAGUGGGAGUUCUUAAGUAAUAUGAUUAAGUGAACUUUAAUUUAUCAUGAGCUUAGUCCUAGUAGUAUUAUCAUAUCUAUGUUGUAGAUCAAUAGCUCGCGAUGUUGCUCCUCGUUUAAUUUUUAUAUGUUCCUAGAGAAAACUAAGUUGAAAAAUGUUAGUACCAAUGAUGCGGAUUGGAUCCGUGAUCUGAGGAUUAUCCUCAUUGCUACACAGAAGAAUUAUGUCCUUGAUGCACCGCUAGGUGACAACCCUAUUGCAGGAGCAGAUGCAGACGUUAUGAACAUUUGGCUAGCUCAAUAUGAUGACUACUUGAUAGUUUAGUGCACCAUGCUUAACAGCUUAGAAUCGGGAUUUCAAAGACGUUUUGAAUGUCAUGGACCAUAUGAGAUUUUCCAGGAGUUGAAAUUAAUAUUUCAAGCAAAUACCCGAGUUGAGAGAUAUGAAGUCUCCAACAAGUUAUAUAGCUAAAAGAUGGAGGAGAAUAGCUCAAGCAGUGAGCAUGUGCUCAGAUUUUCUGGGUACUACAAUCGCUUGAAUCAAGUGGGAGUUAAUCUUGCAGAUAAAAUAGUGAUUGACAGAAUUCUCUAGGCACCAUCACCAAGUUAGUAGAACUUCAUGAUGAACUAUAAUAUGCAAGGGAUAACAGAAACAAUUCCCAAGCUCUUCGUGAUGCUGAAAUCGACGAAGGUAGAAAUCAUGAAAAGCAUCAAGUGUUGAUGGUAAACAAAACCACUAGUUUCAAGUAAAGGGACAAAGGGCGGAAAGGGGAACUUCAAGAAGAACGGCAAGCAAGUUGCUGCUCAAGUGAAAAACCCAAGUCUGGACCUAAGCCUGAAACUGAGUGCUUCUACUACAAAGGGAUUGGUCACUGGAAGCAGAACUACCCCAAGUAAUUGGCGGAUAAGAAGGAUGGCAAAGUGAACAUAGGUAUAUUUUAUAUACAUGUUAUUGAUGUGUACUUUACUAGUGUUUAUAGCAACCCCUCAGUAUUUGAUACUAGUUCAGUUGCUAAGAGUACUAACUCGAAACGGGAGUUGCAGAAUGAACAGAGACUAGUUAAGGGUGAAGUGACGAUGUGUGUUGGAAGUGGUUCCAAGAUUGAUAUGAUCAUCAUCGCACACUCCCUAUACUUUCGGGAUUAGUGUUGAACCUAAAUAAGUGUUAUUUGGUGUUUGCGUUGAGCAUGAAUAUGAUUUGAUCAUGUUUAUUGCAAUACGGUUAUUCAUUUAAGUAAGAGAAUAAAUUGUUGUCCUGUUUACAUAUAUGGUUACACACCCAAUGAAAAUGGUUUGUUGGAUCUCGAUCGUAGUGAUACACAUAUUCAUAAUACUAAAACCAAAAGAUGCAAAGUUAAUAAUGAUAGUGCAACUUAUUUGUGGCACUGCCAUUUAGGUCAUAUUGGUGUAAAGCGCAUGAAGAAACUCCAUGCUGAUGGACUUUUGGAAUCACUUGAUUAUGAAUCAGUUGAUGCUUGCGAACCAUGCCUCAUGGGCAAGAUGACUAAGACUCCAUUCUCCAGAACAAUGCAGCAAGCAACCGAUUUGUUGGAAAUCAUGCAUACUGAUGUAUAUGGUCCGAUGAAUAUUGAAGCUCGCGGCAGGUAUCAUUAUUUUCUGAUCUUAACAGAUGAUUUGAGCAGAUAUGAGUAUAUCUACUUGAUGAAACACAAGUCUGAAAUAUUUGAAAAGUUCAAAGAAUUCAGAGUGAAGUGGAGAAUCAUUGUAACAAAAAUAAAAGUUUCUAUGAUAUGAUCGCAGAAGUAAAAUAUUUGAGUUACGAGUUUGGCCUUCAGUUAAAAGAAUGCGAAAUAGUUUCACUACUCACGCCACCUGGAACACCACAGUGUAAUGGUGUGUCCGAACGUUGUAAUCGUACUUUACUUGAUAUGGUGCGAUCUAUGAUGUCUCUUACAGAUUUACCGCUAUCGUUUUGGGGUUAUGCAUUAGAGACAGCUACAUUCACGUUAAAAAGGGCACCAUCUAAAUCCGUUGAGGCGACACCGUAUGAACUAUGGUUUGGCAAGAAACCAAAGUUAUCGUUUCUUAAAGUUUGAGGUUGCAAUGCUUAUGUGAAAAAGUUUCAGCUUGAUAAGCUAAAACCCAAAUUGGAGAAGUGUGUCUUCAUAGGAUACCCAACAGAAAAUGUUGGGUACACCUUCUAUCACAGAUCCAAAGGCAAGUUAUUCAUUGCUGAGAAUGGAUCCUUUCUAGAGAAGGAGUUUCUCUCGAGAGAAGUGAGUGGGAGGAAAGUAGAACUUGAUGAGGUAACUGUACCUGCUCCCUUAUUGGAAAGUAGUUCAUCAAAGAAAUCUGUUUCUGUGACUACUACACCAAUUAGUGAGGAAGCUAAUGAUGAUGAUCAUGUAACUUCAGAUCAAGUUACUACUGAACCUCGUAGGUAAACCAGAGUGAGAUCCGCACCAGAGUGGUAUGGUAAUCAUGUUCUGGAGGUCAUGUUACUUGACCAUGACGAACCUAUAAACUAUGAGGAAGCGAUGAUGAGCCCAGAUUCCGUGAAAUGGCUCGAGGCCAUGAAAUUUGAGAUGAGAUCCAUGUAUAAGAACAAAGUAUGGACUUUGAUUGACUUGCCCAAAUAUCGAGAGCCAUUGAGAUUAAAUGGAUCUUCAAGAGGAAGACGGACGUUGAUAGUAGUGUUACUAUCUACAAAGCUAGAAUUGUCGCAAAAGGUUUUCGACAAGUUCAAGGUGUUGACUACGAUGAGAGUUUCUCACUCGUAUCUAUGCUUAAGUCUGUUCGAAUCAUGUUAGCAAUUGCCGCAUUUUAUGAAAUCUGGCAAAUGGAUAAACAUAACUGCAUUCCUUAAUUGAUUUAUUAAAGAAGAGUCGUAUAUGAUGCAACCAGAAGGUUUUGUCAAUUCUAAAGGUACUAACAAAAUAUGCAAGCUCCAGCAAUCCAUCUAUGGACUGGUCCAAGCAUCUCAGAGUUGGAAUAUGCACUUUGAUAAGUUGAUCAAAGCAUAUAGUUUUAUACAGACUUGCGGUGAAGCCUGUAUUUAUAAGAAAGUGAGUGGGAGCACUACAACAUUUCUGAUAAGUAUAUGUGAAUGACAUAUUGUUGAUCAGAGAUAAUGUAGAAUUAUUCUACAAAGCAUAAAGGAAUGUUUGAAAGGAGUUUUUCAAAGAAAGACCUCGGUGAAGCUGCUUACAUAUUGAGCAUCAAGAUCUAUAGAGAUAGAUCAAGCCGCUUGAUAAGUUUUUCAAUGAGUACAUACCUUGACAAGAUUUUGAAGUAGUUCAAAAUGGAACAGUCAAAGAAAAAGUUCUUGCCCAUGUUACAAGGUGUGAAACUGAGUAAGACUCAAAACCCGACCAUGGCGGAAGAUAGAGAGAGAAUGAAAGUCAUUCCCUAUGCCUUAGCCAUAGGUUCUAUAAAGUAUGUCAUGAUGUGUACUAGACCUAUUGUAUACUCCGCCCUGUGUUUGGCAAGGGAGUACAACAGUGAUCUAGGAGUAAAUCACUGGACAUUGGCCAAAAUUAUCCUUAGUGGAAUAAGGAUAUGUUUCUCGAUUAUGGAGGUGACAAAAGGUUCGUCGUAAAGGGUUACGUCGAUGCAAGUUUUGACACUGAUCCAGAUGAAUCAAAGUCUCAAUCUGGAUACAUAUUGAAAGUGGGAGCAAUUAGAUAAAGUAGCUCCAUGCAGAACAUUGUUGACAUAGAAAUUUGCAAAAUACUUACGGAUCUGAAUGUGGCAGACUCGUUGACUAAACUUUUCUCACAAGCAAAACAUGAUCACACCUUAGUACUCUUUGGGUGUUAAUCACAUAGCAAUGUGAACUAGAUUAUUGACUCUAGUAAACCCUUUGGGUGUUGGUCGCAUGUCGAUGUGAACUAUGGGUGUUAAUCACAUGGUGAUGUGAACUAUUGGUAUUAAAUCACAUGGCGAUGUGAACUAGAUUAUUGACUCUAGCGCAAGUGGGAGACUGAAGGAAAUAUGCCCUAGAGGAAAUUAUAAAGUUAUUAUUUAUUUCCUUAUAUCAUGAUAAAUGUUUAUUAUUCAUGCUAGAAUUGUAUUAACCGGAAACAUAAUACAUGUGUGAAUACAUAGACAAACAGAGUGUCACUAGUAUGCCUCUACUUGACUAGCUCGUUGAUCAACGAUGGUUAUGUUUCCUAACCAUAGACAUGAGUUGUCAUUUGAUUAACGGGAUCACAUCAUUAGGAGAAUGAUGUGAUUGACUUGACCCAUUCCGUUAGCAUAACACUUGAUAUUUAGUUUAUUGCUAUUGCUUUCUUCAUGACUUAUACAUGUUCCUAUGACUAUGAGAUUAUGCAACUCCCGUUUAUCGGAGGAACACUUUGUGUGCUACCAAAUGUCACAACAUAACUGGGUGAUUAUAAAGGUGCUCUACAGGUGUCUCCGAAGGUACUUGUUGGGUUGGCAUAUUUCGAGAUUAGGAUUUGUCACUCCAAUUGUCGAAGAGGUAUCUCUGGGCCCUCUCGGUAAUGCACAUCACUUAAGCCUUGCAAGCAUUGCAACUAAUGAGUUAGUUGCGGGAUGAUGUAUUACGGAACGAGUAAAGAGACUUGCCGGUAAUGAGAUUGAACUAGGUAUUGAGAUACCGGCGAUCGAAUCUCGGGCAAGUAACAUAUCGAUGACAAAGGGAACAACGUAUGUUGUUAUGCGGUUUGACCGAUAAAGAUCUUCGUAGAAUAUGUAGGAGCCAAUAUGAGCAUCCAGGUUCCGCUAUUGGUUAUUGACCGGAGACGUGUCUCGGUCAUGUCUACAUUGUUCUCAAACCCGUAGGGUCCGCACGCUUAAGGUUUCGAUGACAGUUAUAUUAUGAGUUUAUGAGUUUUGAUGUACCGAAUGAGUUUGGAGUCCCGGAUGAGAUCGGGGACAUGAUGAAGAGUCUCGAAAUGGUCGAGACGUAAAGAUCGAUAUAUUGGAUGACUAUAUUCGGACAUCGGAAAGGUUCCAAGUGAUUCGGGUAUUUGGAGUACCGGAGAGUUACGGGAAUUCGCCGGGGAGUAUAUGGGCCUUAUUGGGCCAUACGGGAAUAGAGGAGAGAGGCCAAAAGGAAGGAGGCGUGCGCCCCCCCUCUGGUCCGAACUGGACAAGGGGUGCAGCCCACUUUUCCUUGUUCCUCUCCCCCUCUUUCCUUCUCUCCUACUCCAACAAGGGAAGGAGGAGUCCUACUCCCGGUGGGAGUAGGACUCCCCCCUUGGCGCGCCCUCCUCCUAGGCCGGCCACCUCCCCCCCUUGCUCCUUUAUAUACGGGGGCAAGGGGGCACCCCAUAGACACAACAAUUGAUCAUUGAUCUCUUAGCCGUGUGUGGUGCCCCCCUCCACCAUAAUCCUCGAUAAUAUUGUAGCAGUGCUUAGGCGAAGCCAUGCGACAGUAGAACAUCAAGAUCGUCACCACGCCGUCGUGCUGACGGAACUCUUCCCCGACAUUCUGCUGGAUCGGAGUCCGGGGAUCAUCAUCGAGCUGAACGUGUGCUAGAACUCGGAGGUGCCGUAGUUUUGGUGCUUGAUCGGUCGGGCCUUGAAGACGUACGACUACAUCAACCGCGUUGUCAUAACGCUUCCGCUUUCGGUCUACGAAGGUACGUGGACAACACUCUCCCCUCUCGUUGCUAUGCAUCACCAUGAUCUUGCGUGUGCGUAGUAAUUUUUUUGAAAUUUCUACGUUCCCCAACAGAAUAGGGGGCUGGAAGGACAUACUUUCCCGACAGGCCUCUGUGUGGAUCUUUGUGGUGAAGCGACAGGGCAGGUUGAGACCACCUAGGAGAGAGGUGGGCCUGGCCCUGGUCGGCGUUCAUGGUUUUUUCAAGAUAACACGUUUAACGAGAUCUUGGUAUUUGAUCUGAGUCUGGCCACUGGCCUAUACGCACUAACCAUCUACGCAGGGACAGUUAUGGGCACUCGACAUCGUGGUAUCAGCCGAAGCCUUCGUGACGUCAGCGACUGAGCGGCGCGCGCCGGGUUGGACUGGAACGCCUGCUCUUGUAUAAGGGAGGCUAGGUCUGCUCUCAGGCCGCCCUCGCAACGUGCAGGUGUGCAAUGGGUGAUGGGCCCAGACCCCUGCGCCAUAGGAUUUAGACCGGCGUGCUGACCUCUCCGUUGUGCCUAGGUAGGGCUGCGACGUGUCGAUCUUCCGAGGCCGGGCAUGACCCAGAAAAGUGUGUCUGGACAAAGGGGAUCGAGCGUGUUGGGAAAUGUGGUGCACCCCUGCAGGGAAGUUAAUCUAUUCGAAUAGUCGUGAUCUUCGGUAACAGGACGACUUGGAGUUGUACCUUGACCUUAUGACAACUAGAACCGGAUACUUAUUAAAACACACCCUUCCAAGUGCCAGAUACAAUCGAUGAUCGCUCUCUCACGGGGCGACGAGGGGAGGAUCAUCGGUUAGGAUUAUUCUACACGCUGCUACUUGGUGAACUUACCAUCUACUCUCUUCUUCUGCUGCAAAAUGGAGGUUACCAGAAGCGUAGUCUUCGAAAGGACUAGCUAUCCCCCCUUAUUCCGGCAUUCUGCAGUUCAGUCCACAUAUGAUACCCUUAUUCCAUUUGAUACCAAUGCAUACAUAUGUAGUGUAGCUCCUUGCUUGCGAGUACUUUGGAUGAGUACUCACGGUUGCUUUGCUCCCUCUUUUCCCCCUUUCUAUACUCGAUUGCUGCAACCAGACGUUGGAGCCCAGGAGCCAGACGCCACUGCCGAUGACGACUACUACUACUCGGGAGGUGCCUACUACUACGUGCAGCCCGCUGACGGCGACCAGGAGUAGUUUAGGAGGAUCCCAGGCAGGAGGUCUGCGCCUCUUUCGAUUUGUAUCCCAGUUUGUGCUAGCCUUCUUAAGGCAAACUUGUUUAACUUAUGUCUGUACUCAGAUAUUGUUGCUUCCGCUGACUCGUCUAUGAUCGAGCUCUUGCAUUCGAGCCCUCGAGGCCCCUGGCUUGUAAUAUGAUGCUUGUAUGACUUAUUUUAUUUGUAGAGUUGUGUUGUGAUAUCUUCCCGUGAGUCCCUGAUCUUGAUCGUACACGUUUGCGUGUAUGAUUAGUGUACGAUUGAAUCAGGGCGUCACAAAAUUGGUGAUGGAGGAAGGUUGAUGAUGACGAUGGCGACG